rnacentral:lncRNA from 1 species
AGGAAAAAAGGGUAAUAUAAAGGUUUCACAAACCAUGACAAAUUAUAUGCUUAAAAACUUAACAAAGAAAGAACCAAAUGUUAUCUUGUUUGAUUACCUUUGUACAGGAGCAAUUAAUUAUUGUUUUCGUUUCCAUUUAGUCUUUUCCUUUCCUUUUUUGUUUAAGUAAUGAAGAACAAUUCAUUAAAGAGAGUCAAGACUAAAGAAUAUUAAACUAGAAUUCAGUGUGAUUGACGAGAGUUCAAAUAUAAUCUGAGGAAGAACUGACCAAUAAUAGACUUUAGGUUAACCUUUUUCUUUUUCAUUAAAGAUUGACUGAUUUACUCUAAUGGUAUUAUGUCAGAACCUAGAUGAGCUGCCCUAUGUAGUUAGUUUGUCUUUGCUCAAAUAUUGCUUCAUUUACCUUUUCUGACAGUUCUUAUUAACAAUCAUUCUGGUUGUUUCUUCUCAAUCUUAGUUACCAAUAAUGACAUCUUACCCAUUUGGUCUAGUGUAUGAAUUUACUGAACUUGCUUUAUUUUUCUUUUCCCUCAUUAUUUCUUUGGCAGGGUAGUCUAGUUUACUGGGUUACGAAUAGUUCGUUCACUGCAAUUCAGGUAAUGUUUUUGCUUAGCUUUUCCUAGACGAAGAACCAAAAAUCUACCAAUUUUGUUGAAUGAAUACUUUGACCAAUUGUUGUGUGGACGCACUUUCAGUUUUGAAGCGAUCCUGUAGUUAAUUUUUGCGAGCAAAUCUUUUCCUUUAUUUCUAAUUCCUUUGCAGUCCAUUGACUAGUUCUCUUUGCUGGCUAACAAAAACUAUUUGAUUAGAAGAUUGACACUUCCAUUUUAUUGUCCUUUCAAGAUUGUUUUUUUUUGAGAAGGACAGUCUCAUUUGUUGAUAAACAUUAAGACAAAAGCUUAUAGUACAAGAGGAUUAUAUAUACCUAGUUGAGAUGCUCGGGUGCACCUCCUAAUGCAAUGAGGAGGCGGGAGCUAAGUGUUUUAAUAGUGACUUUACUGAACCCCAUGAGAUUCCAGUGACCAGCUUCUUUUAUCCUCUAAAUUUGAAAGACUUAUAUUGUCCAAGGAUUCAAGGAGAAGUUGAAUAUCGGAGAUUCCUCCUCUUUCAACAAUCUUCCAAAAUUAAGAGACCUCAGGUGGAGGAGUCCCAGUAUUUGGAAAUCGAGCCUUUAGGAAGAAGGGCUAUUCUGUACGGACUCAGAAAUUUGGUAUUCAAAGCAAUUCUGUCCAGCCACGGAUCCAACCAAAUCAAGAUUCUGUCCCCUUUCCAACUUUAAAAACUGCCAAGGCUUCUACCUUACGCCACUGCCUAGAAAUGUUUAUCCAAGGGCUUCUUAAGCUUGAGUUUUCUUUGCAGCUUGUGUGCCAACAGAAGAUGCUGCUGGCAUGGAUACUACGAACCUAUAUAUCUAGAAUAGAAUAAAAAACCCGAAGAACAAACACACGAAGAACUUCUAGGCUAAAACAAACCCACGAAGAACUUCUGGGAUAGAAACAUAGAUCAUCGUAUAGAGAUCUAUAACAAAACCUAGGAAGGACAAAACAAGAACUCCGGGGGCAAAAUGAAAGAGCAAAAUUGAAACAAAGUAUGAUCAAAGCAGGACGAAAACGGGGUCUGAAUUGAGCAAGAGCGUUUCGUAGGAUCAGAAUGGAACCGAACAAACUAAACUAGAGCAAGUCGAAAUCAGGCUGAACAGGUAAUCUGGGGUGAACAGAGCGAAAACUGAACAGAGCUGAGAGGUUGAGCGGAUAGAGGGCUUUGCGGCGUUCUUCGCAAACAGAGAAGAUGGGUUUCAUGGCGGCGAGCUUCACGAACAGAGAGCAGAAGGAGUCGAACCUGUGCGUCGUUGUCUAUGAGUGGGGUAGAGCGAUGGAUCGUGGAUCUGAACAAAGAUUCACCUUCUUCGUCAGGAUUGGGAGUUUUCAACUGAAAGGAGUCAUUUGGUACGAGCAAGGGGCGGCGGUAGCGGGUCGGUCUAAUCUGGAAUAGUAUGGUUCGAAGGCGGACAGGAUCGAUAGAUCUGGGCAGAAGGCAAAAUAAGACACGAAUCUGGAAGUUGGAGACACGAACGGAGAUGCGCAGACAAAUCGGUGGUUGCAAUGUGUGAAUAGGUAGAUCUGAGCGAGGAUGAACGGAGACACGGAUGUGGGCGCGAGAGUGUGGCGAACUGUAUGGAUGGAAGGAGCAGUGGUGGCGGCAGUUGCAGCGGAAGGAGUAGUGGUGGUGACGGCGGCAGAAUCAGAGACAAGGAUUUUGAUCUAUGCGGCAGAGCGAACUACUUGGAGGAAUGAUUUGUAUUGAUUACUGAUGGGUAUGGCUCUGCCUCCGUUGACGAAUCAACGGAGGCAGACGAAUGGGGAUGUGACGGCUAGAAUACAAGGAGGCUAAAACCCUAUAGCUCUGAUACCAUGUUGAUUUUAUGGAAUUAAUCUAUAUAUUCAUACAUUAUUUAGUAGAGAUACAAACCUAUAUAUAACCAUAGAGAAAUACACUUAAGGAAAUAAUAUCAAAUAAUAUCACCUAAGAAUAAUCUAAUUAUAUUAAUACGAACCACCUUACACCAAAGAGAAUUCUACUGUGAAUCUCCACCCCCCACUUGGCAAGGAGAGCCAUAUUUCUAACUUUCAGCUUGUCCAAACCGAGACCCCCAUCUCCUUGGGUUUGGAAACCAAGUCCCAUUUCACAAGAUGGUUCAAUUUGCUGCCCUAGUUUGCUUCCCAAAAGAAGUUUCUCAUGGUUCUUUCAAUGAAAUUAGAUAUUUUUCUGGCAUGAGAAAAGUGGAAAUGAAGUAGGUGGGAAGAUUGGAGAGCAUCGAUGAGCAAAGAGUAAGUCUUCCUCCUCUUGAAAGAUUUAAUCGCUUCCAUUUAUCUAGCUUCGGUUCUUUAUCCAAGACAGGCUGCCAAAAAUAGGCACAUUUCGGAUAUCCUCCCAAAGAAAGACCUAGGUACAUCAAAGGGAGUUUUUCUAUUUUGCAGUUCAGCAUGGAUGCUGCAGAGAAGAUCUUGCUGUCCUCAAUAUUAACACUGCAAAUGGCUGACUUCUUCCAAUUGAUCUUUUGCCCGGAACACUACUAAAAAUUUCAAGUGUCUUUUUUAAGUUUCCAAGCAUAUCUUCAUCAAGCUUGCAAAAAAUUAAGGUGUAAUCGGCAAAUUGAAGAAGGGGAACGUGAACAUUAUCCUUUUCAACCCGGAAUCCUUCAUACAAACUCUUCAUGUGUUGAUUUGUAAUGAGACUGCUAAGCACUUCACUAACAAGAAGGAAAAGGAAGGGGGAGAGAGCAUCCCCUUGCCUUAGCCCCUGAGGCUUGAAUUUCCUCGAGGCCUUCCAUUAAUGAAUACUGAAUACUUGGGGUUUUUAACACAACCCAUGACCCAAGAGGUCCAUAUGUGAUUGAAGUUCUUCUAAUUCAAAACUUUUUCCAAGAAACCCAAUCAACUUGAUCAAAUGCCUUUUUGAUGUCCAGUUUGAUAAUCCAACAUUGCCUUUUCUUUUGCCUAUAAUCCUCAACUUCAUUUCCAAUAAGAAUAGGAUUGAGGAUUUGGCAGCCUUCCAAAAAGGCACUUUGCAUGGGAGCUAUAAUGUUGGGCAUGAUUAUUUUCAGUCUCUCAGCAAGAACUUUUGCAAUCAAUUUGUACAGCAGAGUAGUGAGACUUAUGGGUCAGAAAUCUCUUACCUUUAUUGCUUCUUCCUUCUUGUUCAGACAAAUAAAGUUCUCCUUUACACAAGCAUUUAAUUUCCCAUUCUCAUAGAACUCGUUGAAUAAUUUAAAGAUAUAACCUUGAGAAGAUCCCAGAAUUUGAUAAAGAAUUCUACCGAGAAUCCGUCCGGACCUGAGGCUUUAUUUCUCCCCAUUGACUUUAGAGCUGCCCUAAUUUCCAGCAAGCUGAAUUUUGUAGUGAGCCUUUUAUUCUGAUCCCCUGAAACUACAUACCAGUCAAAAGUGGAAGGGAAAGUACCUGCAUGAUCAGAUUUCUUAUAGAGGUUGCUGUAGAAAUCAACGAUUGUUCAAUUUCUGGGAAUGAGGUGGUGGGGAUUCUUUGAUCACUAACGAGCUCAGGAAUCAGACUUCUUUUCUUUUGCUGCCAAAAAAGGAUGGAAAUAACUUGUAUUUUCAUCCCCCAAUUUUAGCCAAUUCAACUUACUUUUCUGGAUUUAAUCCUUUUCAUCCCUUCUAUAUAAAGCUAGCAGGUCCGCUUUCUAUGAAAGUAACAAUAGGUGACAUUGAGGACGUCUCUGGUUGAUCAUAUUUGCUUUCUUCUUGUGUAAUGGCUUUUAAUAAGGUUUCUUCCUAACUUUUCCGUUCCCUUUUGUAAUCUAAAUGCCAAGAUUUGAGCUGACCCUUGAUGUUCUGGAGUUUACUUGAUAAUGCGAAGCCCAUCCAGCCCAGCGGAGUGCUCAAGGAUAACAAAUUUUCAAUCAUUUGGCAGUACUGUUACAAAAUUGAAAGGGGGAAGGCCCCUGCUUCUAGUAAAAUGAGGAAGUGGUCUGAGGAGAUCUUUAUUUGUCGGGUUGCUCUUGUGUCCACAAAAGCCUCGUCCCAGUCAAAAGAAACUGAAAAUCUGUCCAGCAAUGAUCUUGAAACUGUUCUACCUUCUCUUGAUCAUAUAAACUUCCCAUUCAGUAAAGGAACUUCAAUGAAUUUUGAAUUUUCAAUGAAUUUAUUGAAUUUCCUUGUGCUGUGUGUCGUUCUUCCCUCUGGAAACUGCUCUCCACCUGAUCGGAUCAUAUUAAAAUCCGCUUCCAAACACCAAGCUUCUGUACAAUACCCAGUAAGGGAAAGUAGCUCAGGCCAUAUGAAUUUCCUCCUCUCAGUAAUCUGUUGGUCCAUAUAUAUUGGUCACCCAACACAACUUAUUGCACACUGUUCUGCAUUUAACUGAUAACGAGUAGCCCCCUUUCAAAACAUCAAUAACAGAAAGUUUGCUUUCAUCCCACAUAGUCAACAAUCCUCCAGAUUUUCCAUGAGCUUCAAGAAAGCUCCAUCUAAUUUUGGUCGACCUCCAUAGUGCUUUGAUAAGGUUAAUGCCAAUCUCCUCUUGUUUGGUUUCCUGAAUCAAAACCAGAUCUGGAUUGGUAUUUUUAAGCAGUCUUUUAAUGGCCAAUUGUUUAGGUUGAUCUAGGAUCCCCCUGGUAUUCCAGGAGUGAAUUUUCAUGGUUCAAAUCUUUCUUACUUUGCUAUUUCUCUGACAUUUCAAAGCAACUUAAACUAAUUAAUUCCACAAAAUUUAAUGACUUGAAUCAAAGUUCCAACUUUCUCUGCUUCUCUGGAGUCUCAAAUUAAUUUAAUAUCACAACCUUCAAUGAAAGGAACCAAAUGGUGAGAAAUGUUGUUAACCUCGACCUUGCCUAACACCUUUUUUUCUGGCGAGAGAAAUAAAUUAGCAAACUCAGAUCUAAAGGAAUCUAUAUCUUCUGCCUCUCCACUUGGCGCUUCUGUUUCCUCUGUACAUAAAUCUUCUUCUUGUAUUAGUUCUUCACUACUGACACUGAUCACUAAAUCUUUAUCCUCAGACCCUUCAUCUACUGCCCUUGAAAUUGUUGAUGAAGGAACACCUCGCACAAAAUCACAAUUUGAGCCUGCCAUUUUGAAGGGGAAAAAGUGAACAUUUAAAGAAGGGGAGGAACUAGCUGACCUGUUACAGGUGAAAUCGGGAGUAAGAAGCCUCACAUAACUUUCUUCCAACAAAUCUGAAUUUGCCAAGGCUGUCCAAGCAUUGUGGAAGGAUGUGCACCCUUUUCUAAAGAACUUUUGGAAGACUUUGAAACGCUGGGGUGUUUCUUGAUUGAUGUUGAGGAAGAUUUGUUGUUUGGAGUACUUUUCUUUAUAUUAAUCGGCGAUCCUGGUUGGAGGAAAAAUCAUUACAAGGAGUUUAAGAAUCAAUCAGCACUGGAGAAACCUUUUCUGACUCUUCAUCUGCCACGAAUGCAUACCAAAAUCCGGGGGUUUUGCAAUAAAAGAAUUGCCAGAUUUGGCCGGACACUUGGCGAUCCUUGGGGAACCAAGGGAACUUUCUGAUUGGUCCAAAGCAUUCUGACGGUUGGGGGAUCUUUUUUCAAAUACAUAAAUUUAUGGCUGCCUAUACCCUCUAUGUUACCAAAGCAGUCUCAUCGUUGGGUUCAAAUCUGCUAUGUUACCUUGUUUAACUUCAACAAUUGAUUUGUUCACGAACAAGAGGGUUAAUAAUGAUUUUCACCUGAAAUAAAUCUCUUGAUUUCAUUCCAAUAAUCAAAGAUGAAUAACUUGUUAAUAAUCCAUAAAUCAUUGAAAUCCUCUCUAAUAACAUCAUCACAGUUUCGAACUCAUCGUUGUUGCAAACUUCAGAGUUCUAAAGGAGGAGAGGAGGGAUGACUAAUGGAUUCUCUUGGUAGCAGACUCUGUUUUUUGAUAUGUUGCGCAGGGGAGAAAUUUGAAUUUGAGGCCUUCACUUUAUUUACAUAGUAGGCCUGGGCGAGUAGACUGAUUUAUCUGAUUUCCAUGUAAACAAGAGGCCAGUUUAAGAGACGAGUGCGACAAUCCAUAAUCGUGAUUCAUUAAGAAGCUUUUUAGAAUGUAUAAGAAAGAGACCCAUCCUUGUUUUGCACCCCAUGAAUAGACGUGCACAAAGGAUUGAAACCCUAAGGAAUUUCGAGCAACACAUCUGACUAUCCAUACAGAAGGAGCUUUGAACUUUGUGAGUCUUGUAGUACCAUCUGCGUCUCUGCCAUUUUUGGGAAAGAAACAAUAUUCCUCAUCAUGAACCAAAUUCGACAUAGCAGCAAUAGACCAUCUUAGUUGAUUCUUUGAAACUUGUAGAUUUCUUUAAAAAUCAACAUCUUCAAUAUUGAAAUGCCCCUUGUCAAACCAAAUGCAGUAGAAAGACUCGGCAAUUUUUCCGUUGGGAGGAAGGACAACUGGAGAGGGGAAAGAAAGAGGAGAGAAAGGGAGAGAGAGAACUUACCUUAGGGACCCUAAUCUUCUCUCAUUAGUAGCAAUAGUGUGCAGUACGUAUGAGCAAACUAAUAAUUUUGAGAUUCCUUUCAAGAUUGUUUGAAAAUCUUCUUGUUUGGUCGUAUUAAUAGCCAAAUGGCCAAACGCUUCUUCACAAAGAGGAAAUUCUUUUUAUCAAAAGCCUUUUCGUUUUUCUUACAAAAGCCAAAUGGCCAAACGCUACAUCACAUCUGAGUGAUGAACUUAAUACCAAAAUCCUAACAAUUGGAAUUAAAACCCAUUGUGAUGAGAACCCCUAGUUCUCAAUCACUAAAACCUCCAAAUUCAAUUUGAUUUCAACCCUAAGGAUUGGGUUAUGCUCAGAUUUCCUUAAGAUCAAAUAUCUUAAAACAAAAAUAGGUUCCCUGCCCUAAGAUUAGAACACUCCAUGAAUAGGAUGAUAAAUCCCACUUGAAUAUUCCCGGCAUGCAAUUCAACACAUGAAGUGCAAAAUUCAAGAAUCUCCAUGGCUAAACUUGAAAGAAGCACAACAGCCAAAUUUGAUUAAUCUUACACUUCUGAACCAUCUAAAGACUAGACUUUAAAUCGACUCCCAAUAAAAACCCUUAUGGAUCAUAAAAAGAUAAAAUUACCAGUACUUGUGUUAUGAAAAAAGAUUAAAUUGGAAAAUAUUAAAACUACAUCAAAAUUAUUAAACAAAAUCUCAUUAAUAAUUUGAUUUUUGGACGAUUUAUAUCACCUUUGAUCUGUCGAGUCUAAGGCUUGGGGCUUGCAUGGGUGCAAAGCUCCCACCCCCUGUUAAAGUAAACAAUGUCAAACAAUUUGGGUUUUUAGUAAUAAGCUUCUUUUCAAAUUCUGUAGUUUCUUAAACUCUUUGGUUUUAGUUUGCAUAUUUUGUGAAGCUUAUUUUUACGUCAAUCUUGCAGCAAUUAACUCUCCAACAUCCUGCUGUCCGCAGUAAAUUGGGAUUGCCUUCCAGGGAUGCUCCUGUGGGCACUACAACUCUCAGAGAAACCAAUAAUCCAGGCAAAAUACCGUUGGAGACAACCACUAAGUGGAAAAAAAUUUCUGUAGAGAAGCUGUCUCCUAAGGAAUUGCUUGCUGUAAAUUAUGCUGAGCUCAAUUAUUUUUUUGUGUUGGUUCAAUUUAGUGUAAAUAUGUAAUACAAACAUUUCAGGUAGCUAAUGGUUAAACUUGACAGCUUUCUGUCCAACUCCUAUCAAAAGGGCAAAAAGAAAAGGCUAUUCCUUUACUGCGGUAAGCUCUCUAGGCUUCUCUCAGAUUCCACUAUCAUGUAUAUGUUCUAUAUGGGUUUCUCAGGCAGGUUGUUUUGGCCUAAAUUGAAGGGGAAAAAAAAGUUGGCGACACAUGACUAAUUUAAUACUUUAGACAGGCACUUAACAAGGAACCUGAGUAUGUUCGAGCUUUGGUUGUCAUGGGGCAAACUCUGUUACAAAAUGCACAACCUGCAGAGGCUACUGUAUACUUAGAGCGUGCAAUUUCCAAGGUCUGAGUCCCAGUGUUGCAUUUUCUUUUUCAUUAUUACUGUAUGAUUUAUCUUGCUGGUGCAUAACAGUGGUAUUGAGAAUUUGUUAGAACUCGAGUGUAAUAGAAUCUUAUUCAAUCAAGGUUCAACCAAUGGCUGUAACAAGAACAGGAACAGAGAAACACGACAUUGACAACAAUGAAAACACAAAACAAGAACACUACUACUUCCUCCCCUCACUCUCUCUCGGAAUGCCCUAACAACCAAAAUGAACAUGACUCCUACCAACCUCCUUUCCCUCCGUAUAAACCCCUCCCCAUAGCCUAACUAACUGUGGGGUCCAGACAUACUAUUAACAGCUACACUCCCACAAACACGUGCUUUUUCCUACCCUUCCUACUAUAUUGUAAUAUAAUCGGUGCUAACUAACUGGGGGCCAGACAUACUAUCAACAGCUACAUUCCCACAAACACAUGCUUUUUCCUAACCACCCUUCCUACUAUAUUGUAACAUAAUCGGUGCUAACUAACUGUGGGGCCCAAACAUACUAUCAACAGCUACACUCCCACAAACACGUGCUUUUUCCUAACUACUCUUCCUACUAUAUUGUAAUAUAAUCAGUGGCCCAACAAAAUUAUUUGAGUUUCAGAUAACAGUAUAUGGUCAUCUUAGAAUUGGAUAUAAUCGCCCUUUUCAUUGAAUUGGAAUAGAUUUAAAAUUUAAUUUAAAAGAAAGCUAAUGAACAAGACAGGAAAGAACUCAGUAGGAACCAAUUAGCAAGAAGAGAUUGGAAAAGCAAGGUAAGGGUAUUUUACAAAAGGAAUGGAAGAAAUUAUGUACACAAGGAAAGUGGUUAGAAAAUAAGAAAAAGUGAUCUCAACUAAGGUCAUGGCUCAAGUGAGCUUUUCAAUUAUCCCCCUCCUGAUCGAAUGUAGCUUGUUCAUGUAAGUCCUUGAUUUUUUUUUUUAAUAUAUCCAUAUGUCUGUGAUGACUAGUGAGAAUAGCUUCAUUGUAUAGUGGAAAGAAAGGAAGCUCCACACAUGGCUAAUUCUAAGCCCAGACAUAUCUUCAACCCUUAUGGCUAAUGAAGCGAUUAAGGAUUAUAGAGUUAGAAAGAAAGGAAUGGUUUUCAGUAUCAAUUUUGAAAAAGGUUAUGAUAACGUAGACUGGAAUAGUUUGGUCAAGGUGUUGGCAAAGAAGGGUUUUGGUUAUAAAUGGUGUAUAUGAUGAAUGUGGGGAUGUUUGAGGAACGCGAGUUCUUCCUUCCUUGUUAACGAGGUCUGAGGGGUAAAGUAGGUGGUGGUCACAAACACGUUGGACCAGCUUGUGAGGAAGUUGCCUUUGCGUGUUGAGCUUUCCGUUGUUUCUUUGUCGAAAGGCGGAGUAAGACUUGGAUCAUAUUCUUUGGCAGUGUGAUUUUGUGACUAGUAUUUGAGAGUUCUUUCAGACAUAUGGUAUGCUGUAUGUUCCUUCUUUUUUUUUAAAAAAAAAAAGACUUUUAUUGAAAAAUAAAUGAAAGCAUACACAACCAUACAAAAGAACAAGCCCACAAAAAAAUGGACUCCCUCUACAAGAAGGUAGUCCAACUAUACAAAAUCAUGUCCAUAGAAUCAACAAGAGCAAAUGUAGUGUUUUGGGCCAUGAUAAUAAGAAAGCUAAGAAGGUUCACUUUGUCACUUUGCUGGAGUCUUCCUUCUACCUUGGCUUUCCUCUCAGAAGUAAUUCUAAGUCCUUAGCCUUUUGGAAUUCUCAGAUGAAUAAAAUUAGAAGAAUAUUAGCUUCUUAGAAAGUAGGUUUUUUCUCUAGCACCGUAAGACUUACCUUUGUUCAAUAUGUUUUGAGCAACAUCCCUAGUUGAGAUGCUUUAUCCAAUGGUUUAGUUUGUUUUUGUUUACUUGUAAUCCGCUGAACUUCGAGACUUCUCUUUUCAUUAUUUCAAAGUAAACUGUGUUUCCUUUUAAGAAAAAGCAACAUCCCUUUUUGUUUCUUAUUCCUUUUUAAUAUUAUAACCCCCGACUGAGGUGUGUAAGACCCUGGAGAAGAUGAUGCACAAUGUACUUUGUGAAGGGUUGGAGAAAGGAAAAGGGUAGGGGUUACAUUUGGUUAGGUGGGAGAUAAAUGAGACACCGAUCACUAGGUGGUUAGGAAUUGAGAAUUUAAGGUUUCAGAAUAAAGCGCUGUUAGUUUAAUGGGUGUGGAAAGUGUUACAUGGUUGUGCUAACGGUGAAUUAACUUGUGAGGAAGUUGGUUGUAACAGCCCAACUUUUCAACCUAAGUUGAGGUCAUUACUUAAGUAAAAAUAAAAUUUCAAAACCCAAACUAUGCAAACUUUAUAUCAUUUUAUUAAAGAAAUAUAGAGAUAACCUCAAGUGGAAACAAAAUGUUUAAAUAAAUUAAUAAAAAUAAUUGAAUCAGGGUUCCUAAUAAAAUAGUAAAAGAAAACUAGAUGUUUAAAUAAAACCAAAAACCAUCUAAGCAAAAGUUCGUAAAUGUUCUAAACCAUAGAAAUAAAAAUGAGCGGAAGCAUCAAUCUAGCCUAGUCCCUAAUGGCACGGUCACAGGUCUCUCUUGUCACUUGCCAGUUUGUCUUUACCUUUGCUUGAAAAAUGAAACAUGGAAAGGGUGAGUAUUUUUUUUUUGAAAAGGAGACAUCCUCGUUAUUAAUAUAAUAAUAAUGAGACAAAAGCUCAUAGUACAAGAGAAUUAUACAAGUAACAACGAAUCAAGUGGUGCACCUGGACAUCUCAACUAGGUUGAUACCCCUCCCAUAGCACCCUUAUCAUAUCCAAACAAGCUAAAAACCAAAGCAAAGGCGUAAUGUCCAAAAGCAAAACAAAACCAAAAGAAGUACAAAGAAAUACAAAUACAAAUAAAAAGACUAAAAGAUUAAAUCAGACUAAACAACCACCUAAAGAAAAGAUGACUGAAUAUGCUUAAAAACUCGCAUUGAGACAAACUCGAGAUCCUUGGAGAAGGAACACCACGAGGACGCUAAAAGAUGAUGACCCCAUCGAGGUCUUACGUUGAGAAGCUUGCUGUGAAAAAAUGUCUAGAAUCUUCCCAAACACAAUUCUGACAACAAUGCAAUCAAGUUGAGAAUAAGCAAUCAAAACCAUGUUGUGUGAAGAGUCACUAGCGGCAGAGCAAGAGUGCAAAUUGAAGGAUACAAACAUUGUCCAAAAGCCGUUUUCCAAAUUAGAUUAACGACUCGACGUAGACUUCUGUAAUCCCAUAGAAUUACAGAAAUUCAAAGGUAUUGAAAAGAGAGACAACGAGUUCACACCAAUUUACGUGGAAACCCGAGUACCGGGAGAAAAACCACGAUUGUUUGUGUUGUUAUUAUUUUCUAAUGAAUAAAGCAAUAGGUACAAGGGAGAAUAAAUAGAGUACACAAUGGAAUAAAAAAGGAAAAGAUUUAGGAAAAUAAGGAAUACAUUCCCAUAAUCUUUCCAUAAUUAUUCUAGGAUUCUAACAAGGAAAAAGCCUAGAAAAAAAGGAAAGAAUUCCAACAAAAGGAAUGAACUAACACAAAAUAUUUCCAACAGGAGCCAAUGGCCGCUAACUUUGGUCAAUUAUAACCCUUUCUUUCAAGUGUGACUGAAGCACCAUAAGAAUCUGAAACUCACUCACUUCUUCAUCAAGUUUUCUUGAAACAAAAAUUCCCAGCAAACUACUUUCUGCUGUACAUCUAAACUUCUUCUUCUUUCACAUGGCAUACUGUUUGCUGGAAAUUACCUCCAAAAGAUCAAGGCUCCUAAAUGAACUCUUCUAAAGAAAUAAGUUCCAGCCAAAUACAGUCUCUCUAUAAUCAUACAGACCAUAAUCAUUUGCGAUCCAGAAAUCUUUAUAUAGAUGGUUCAUAAGCAUCAAAAGUACAAGAGAACUCCACAAGGAUUUGAAGAAUCUGAAUCAAAAUUUUACUUUUUUUGGUACUUGUAGCAAAACCAGAACUGGGAUAUCAUCUUAAUUUACUUCCUAAGUACCAAUUUUUUUCUUUUAUUAACUCCUACCUCCCUUGUACAUCUAAAAGUACUUUCGAUACAUUAUCACAUCCAAGACUACUUUCAAUGAUGGAGAUAAGUUUAAAGAACUCAAAGGAAAGAUAUACCACAAGCUUCGAUGAUGUCAUGCAAGUGUUGUGGGAUUUCUAGAGAGAAGGUUGUUCUUCUUCUACACCUUCCUCCACAAAAAACUUGCGGACGUUGCUGAUUAUAUUCUCCAAAAUCUCAUAAUCUUCAACCUCUUCCCCUGCUUUAAUCUCUUCUAAUUCCUCACUCUUUGGAGAAGGUUUGCUUUCUAUGGCUUGUCAGAGUUUGUGCGGCCUUUUGUAGGUUCUAUGGGGGGAUUGAAAUGGUAGGGUGUUUGGAGGGGUGGAGAGGAACACACUAAUGAGGUUUUGUUCCUUGUUUGUCUUCUUAUUUUUCUUUGGUUUGGACUUCGAUUUCAAAGACCUUUUAUAAUUAUUUUUUAGGCACUAUUUUGGAUAAAUUUGGGUUUCUUUCCAUAUGGGAGUCUCCACUUUUUGUUGGCUUGAUUUUUUGUAUGUCCCUGUAUUUUUUCAAAAUUUUCAUUUGUUUUGAAUCUUCAUUUUGUAUAUUCCUAUUCGUUCUCUUUGUUGAUAAUUUUGAGCAAGUUAAUGACAACAGGAGUAGAUAAGGGUUUUGUUGUUUUGUUGAGUACAAACCUUCUAAUGGAGCUAUUUUUAGCAUACCCAAGGUCCUGAAAACACUCGGUAUAUUCUCUUCAAUGAGAUUAGACUUACAUAAUUAAAUAUGAAAUCGACAUCGAAUGUAGAGCAAUUGAGGUUUGAUAAUCUUCCAACAAGUAUUUAAUAUUGCGCUUUAUUAAUAGGUACAUUUUCCUCGUCCAUAUGUCCAUCUAUGUUGCUAUCAUGUUGCAUCAUCUCCUUACGUCCCUGAACAAGAGGCUUUAAACGUAUUUAGAUAUUUCUGAUGCCCAUUUUUUUAAUCUCUUAUUUUGCUAACACCAUAGUUAUUUCUUAUCCAGUUAUUUCUUUCCGGUCAUCCUACGGAAGUUGAGGGUGUAGAUCUUCUAAUUCUUGCAUCCCAAUGGGCAGGUGUUGCCUUUAUAAGGCAGGUGAGGUUAAAUCCAUGGUUUCUUCUAGUGCUGGCCCUAGCAAUUUGUCAUUGCAUCAUUCUUUUUCCGGAUUAAUUUGGGAUGAUAUCCAUGUUAACUGCUUUUUGGAGCUCACGUUCUGACUAUCAGUUAAUGUUCUACUAAGUACUACGUUUCUUUCAUUAUUUUUAUGUCAGGGGAAAAUGGUAGAAGGCAUUGCUCACCUAGAAAGAGUUGCUAAUUUGAAAGAGCCAGAAGAACCAAAAAGCAAAGCCCAUUAUUAUGAUGGAUUGGUUCUGCUAGCAAGGUCUCAACCAUACCAAUGAUUAGAUUGAUUUUUCAUCAACCCACCCUUCUUCCCAAGGGGAAAAUGAUUUUCGAAAAGCUUUCGCAUUCCCUUCCUUCAGCAAGCAAAUUUACUAUCAUCUUAUUUCUUGUCAUUUCAGUGCUCUAUACAAUGAAGGUCGCAAGGCUGAAGCUACCAAAUACUUAAAGUCAGCUGUAGCUUAUAAUCCUGCCUACAAAGAAUACUUGGAUCAAUGCGAGGACGACAAUGAUAAAUUAGUUGGCGAUCUUGUCAGCAGUAGGAGAGGAGAUUAUUGAUCGCUCCCUUUCAAAAACAAGGCCGACUUGCCUUUCAUGUUACUGAUAAGUAAUCCAUCAGAGGAAAUCCACAGUUUAUAUAGGCAUUCGACUGAUUUUUGGUUUGUUACAAGGAUCGUUUGGACAAGUUUCAACAGAACUAAGGUCUCCAAUAAAGGACAAACACUGUAGCUGAUGGCAUCGUAUCUCACAUUUAAUUGGGUAGCUAACUUCCCUGUAGUUUACUUUGAUUCAAGUAAAAUAUUGUUUUAUAGUUAGAAUGAAAUUAAAAAAAAAAAGAAGAGGUCCAUUAAGUAUUGCGAACGAUCAUUGGGAACAAUAUCUUUUAUUGUUAUAUUCUUAUUAAAGUUACAUUUUUUUCCACAAAAAAAAUAAUUAUAUUCUUAUUUCUUAUUGAAGUUUUAGAUGAGAUGUAAACUACAAUUAUGAAAUGUAUGGUGCAUUUAAUAUUCUUAAGCUGACAUGCGUUCAGUUUGAACUUUUGUGCUGCUUUUCAUGUAGUUUAAGCAUAAGAAGGAUGAGAUUUGAUUUUCAGUUGUGAAUGAUAUAUUCUUGAAUUAGGUUUAUAGUCCAGUGUUGAUCCAACUCCCCUUUUAUUAGGGACGAUGUUAUAUUGACUAGAACCAAAAUUCUGAGAUGUUCUACUAAGCAAGCUACAUGUUAGAUCUGGGGCAUCCCAAUUCGAUUGGAUGGGAUGAUAGUUUCUUAUUGUGAACAUGUAAAAUCUAAAUUUUGAUUAAGUCACACAAUAUGCUGAACUUUCUACUUCUUUAAGAGGAUCUAAAAGAUUAGCAAUAUAAAUAGAAGACAUUUAUAACAUUCAUUGGCCCAUAUUAUACCUUUGUUAUGUGGGUUAUCUGGAUGUUUAAACGAGUGUUUUACAAGAUGAAAGUGAGUGUCUUUAUUCACAACAAAUUGAACUCUGCUUGGAUUGGGUUGAAAGAUAUCCACACUAGUUAAGCCCUUUUUUCCAGUAGGACACUAUGGCUGCAUUUGCAUUUACUAUUCUGCAAUCCUAGUAAAUGCAAAAUUUGAAAACAAAUAUCUUAUCAAAACAUUUAAAUAAUUUGAAAACAAAUAUGAGCAGAAGCAAUCCUCUUAUCUCCUCUAAAUCCAAAUUACACGAUCAUGGGUCUUACUCAACACUCGUCUUACUUGAAAAAGAUGAAAUAAGAAAGGAUGAAUAUAAAAAUACUCAAUAAAUGCCUUACCAGAACCUUUUAGAUGAACAACUAAUUACUUGCUUCAACAUAGAUAUAAUGUACAAAUAACAUGGUGUAGGCAAUGAACCCGAGAGAACACAAAUCAUAUCAUAAGUAGUGGUCUCGAAGGAGCACAAAACAUAAGGUUACAUAAACAUGUCACGAGCAUUAACAAUCACCGCUAAUCUUAACAUCAAAUUAACAAUAGAUAGGCUUUAGCAUAAUGUCAGUCCAAAGUUUCUCAAUGUAAAUAAUAUCCUUAAUAUAACACACAAGUUAUUUCAUUAUACAAUAACAUGCUUAUAUGGUUUCAUAACUAGAAAAAAAAUAAUUAUUUACUUUUGAUUGUCUCCGACUCAAGUGGGAAAAUCACUUACCAAUAAUUUCUAAAUCCAACCGUUUGAAAACGAACUUUCAACUUGAAGGGAGGUCAACAAAUUAUUUUAUUUUUCGAAAAUUAUAAUUAUAUUUCAUUAUAUAAUUAAUUUUACUUUUUCAUAUUAAUGAUUUGGUUUCGUGUAAAUAAUUAAUAUCAUAUUUCAUGAAAAAAAUAAAUAAAUUAUUAAUUAAGUAUACAUACCCACCCACAUAUAUAUUUACUUAAUUAAUUCCAAUUCGACAGUAACAAGCUUUUUCCUUUUCAACAUCCUAAAUCAAACUCAAAUUUCAAUUUUUUAAUUAACAAAAUCUUAUCCAAUAAAUUAGUUAUUUUAAAAUUUUCAUCGAUUCCAACACAAAUUAUCUUACCAAAUAAUUUAAGAUAAUUAAUAAAAAUUCACUAAAAGUUUGGGCAGUUACGGUGACAAAGCCUCUUCCAAGGACUUAGUUCUGUAGUCUUUCUAACAAGCUUUUUGUCCACAUUCAUCUCAUUUUGAUUGAAGAGAUGAUAUAAUAUACACAAAAAAACUACACAAUAAGAAAUUUACUCAUUCUUUAUAGAUAGAGUAAGUAGAAAAAUUAGACUUCUAAAGGUUGAUUUCAAGGGUUGAACUAUGUCAGAGAAAUUGACGAUAGUUAAAGAAUUAGACGUAAUUAACCGUAUUUAUAAGAAUGAUAUGGUUAUGCUUUUGUCAGGAGGUGUAGGUUAGUGGAGAUUUUAUAUUGUUACCAUUUGUGAAAGGUAAAAUUAAAUGAAAAGAAAAAGAAUGAAAGAUAGCUUACACACACAAACAUGAGGAGGUGUGAUUGUAAAGUAUGGCUUUAAAUGAGCAUAUAAAUAUUUUCCCUUUUUCUGCUUUUAUAUGUUCUAAGAUUUAUAAUACCGAAAUUAUUUGAGCAUCAUAAUUUGAGUCCAUUUCAAUACUCAAUACUCAAUACUCAAUACUCAUCUCCUUCCCCCUCUCUUCAUAUUCAAACUUCAUCUCAAUUCUUUACAUCCUCCUUCUCUUCAAACUGGUAUCAUCAAAUCUUAUAUUUCCCUUUUCUUUCCAUUUAUGUUCUAAUUCAUACUCUUCUAAUCAUCCUUUUUAUACAUUCAAUCUUCUUGUUUUCCCUCUGCAUGCGCACUAGGGUUUUCUUUUCUUUUUCUUUUUGGUUUUUUGUUUGAAUUACACCAAUCCAGAGAUUCAAAACGAUCGCUAAAACAUGCUUCUGGUUUGGAUUAUUAAGCUCAGCAGUUCAAUGAAUAUAGUCGCGAUUGAAUCCUUGUUAUUUUCUUUGAUUCGAUUCCUGGUUUCUGCAACUCUGAAUUUCGAUUACAUUGGGAACUUUCAUUUUAGGUUUAUGCACUACUCGAAAUUUUGUUGAAAUGGUGCUGUUUUUGUGGUUAUUUUAUACCGUUCUCUGAACUUCAAGUUAUCUUUUUCCAAAUUAUUGGGUUUCCUAAGUCCAAUUUGAAUUAAAUUGAGGUGCUUUGAACUUAUUAAAGUGAAAGUUGGAGAAAGAAUUUGGGCUUAAAGAGGACAGAUUGGUUUCCCACGCUUUGGUGGGUUUCCAUUCAGUCUCUGUCUAACCCUCGUUUCUCUCUCUCUCUCUCAUGGGUUUUGGUUUUGCAGAACUUCUUCCUUUGUUGGUUCAUAUUCUUCGGUUAUCUUGUCGCAUCUUCGCCGUCCAACGCCCAACCGCUGUAGUGAUUCUAGCCGGUUAGAGUGUUGGUAGUUUUUUUUUUUUAAGUUUGUGGAUAUUCUUGGAACUUCAUUAAGUUUUUGGCAAGAGAUUAAGUUACAAGUUACCCACUCUGUUUUUGUUAUAGCAUCUUGAUUUUGAAGUGUUUCAUCCACUGUCCAACAAGAUCAAGAGUACGUUUUGCUGUGGACUUUAGAUCCCUUUCGGAUUAAUUAUAGUUGUUGGAAAUUCAGUUUUUUUUUUUUUUUUUCCCUUCAAGCCUCAUUGAAAUGAUGAAAUGAAACUAAUACUUUUAGAUAAAACAGUAAUAACCAUUAUUCUUGGUUAUACAUAGUUUGGAACGGUUGUUUUAGGUUUUAAGUGGAUCUGGAUUUAUGGUGGCAUGGGAUUAUGACUUGUAGUGAUGUUGUUUCUACCUUUGUUCAAAUUUCUAAACAUUUUCAGUUUUAUAAGGCAUAGUUUCAGAACUGGCAAUUUUGUCCUCAUUUUUAUAAAUCUCUUUCUUCAUUGUUUCUCCCAGUGAUCACAAAUGGAAAAUUUAUUUUAGUUUGAACAAAUUUAUUCAAUGAUGUUUCUAUUAUUUACUUAUGUUUUCUCUAAUUCAAGCUGUUGUCUCCUUGUUGGUCGUGUGUUUGUCUCAAAAAGUUGGAUCGAUACAAUACAUUGAAGGAAAAAAAAGAAAAAGAAAAGAAGUACAGAGGAAGGGCUUUGAGCCCUUUUCUAUUUUCGAUCUAAGGAAUGACUCAAUUAGAAUUUCAUAAUUCGAGCGGCAAGAUAAGCAAUUUCUCACAGCCCUAGAAUUUACCCCUUGUUGUACAGUAGCUUCUGUUUUCUCCUUUAGCUAAAUUUCUCUUCCCCCCUCACUGUCUCCUUUCUUAACACAUUGGUUUUUUAGGUGAUUGGUGUCACAUAUUUUCACACACAUAUGUUCAUUCUUUUGUGCUAAAAUCUUAGAUGAAACGUAUAUUAUGAGUGGGUACACACACAAAGAGGCCUGAUUUUGCUAACGGAACGAGAAUGUAUCAAUGAAAAUGGAACUACUUUUAGAAAUGGUAACCAUUUAUAGUAUAGGAAACCUUGCUGCGUUUAUAUUUUCUGAAACAUUGACAUUCUUAUUUCUUGAUUUAUCUUUGCACAUAUGACUGGAUAUGUAAUUAAAUUAUUUUUCUACUUUGUUCAUGAAUGAUUUGAAUAAAGAAACAAGGAAAGAUUUAAUGAAAAUUGCACGUUGCUCUGGCUAUUCUAGACAGGAGCGUUUUUCCUUUUCCUGUACUGUGGUAAUUGAGACACCUCACUAACUUUUACCUGAAUGUCUUGAAACUUGUUUCUCUUUGUGUUUUUGAAGAUAAUAGGGAUUACAUUCAACUUUCCAAGUUUGGAUGAUUUAUAGUUUUAUCAUUGGAAUGUUCAAAUCCCUGUUUAUACCAUUGUUAAAAUAAUUUUAGAAAGACUUGAAAAUUUUGUAUAACGUAAUUUUCUUCUUUAUUAGAUUAUCUAAAUGGAUCAAGAGGCUGCACGAACUGCUCGAGAAUCACUAGACCUUGCAUUUCAUAUGUCUAAUGUACUUGAUGCUGGGAUCGAUCGGCACACUCUCUCUGUCCUCAUUGCUCUCUGUGACAUGGGUGUGAACCCUGAAGCUCUGGCUGCUGUGGUCAAGGAAUUACGGCGGGAGCCACCCUCAUCAGACACCAUCGUAUCCAGUAACAAGUCAUAAGUUCCCCAAGCAAAGAAACAACUUUGUUCUUCUGAUGAAAGUUGAAAUACAAAUGUGUAUUUUUAACAAUGUUUCUAUAUAUGUAGCUUGCUUGAUGGCAUCUUGUGAUAGAUGUGGGCUUGGUGUUUAGAAUGUUCAAUUUAUUCAUAAUCUUGUGUUCAUCCCUUCUUCUCCAUUCUGUUGCUUUACAGAUUGCUUGUUUAGCUGAUUUUGUCAAAAUAACAGAAUUGGCACACAUGUAUUCUAUACAGAUCUGUUGGAAUGAGAGUGAGGGAGUAUUCUACCUGAACGUACCAUGGAUGGAUCCCACAAGUGUGCAAAUGGCCAUCGAAAGACAAGGAACAUGCUUAUUGGGCGAUGAGCGUCUGAAGGCCUAUAAAUACUAGUAUUGAAAAUCACUAAGACACACAAAUUAAGGCACACACAUUCGAGUGCUGAAACUCUACUAAAUUCCCAUAUCACCAUCACCAUUUGUUCACCUAUCAGUCGUAGAGGCUUUCAUAGUCAUUGAUCAAUUGAGAAAAGCAAGAAAUUGAGAAAUUGUGAUCCACGACUUGAGUUUCACCCUUUUCCGUCUCAUAUUGCUUUCAUCUUGUGAUUGUAUUAGAAAAUCUGAUUUUUGUAAACAAAUAUUAUUAUGCCUCCAUCUCUAUUCUCUACCAUGCACUGAGUAGCUAAAUUUAUGAGCGCAUUAGGAAGUUAGAUUCAACAUGAUAGAAUAAGCAUGGACAACUAUCAUUUUAUUUAACCUUUGUAAUAGUUAAGUGCUCGAGUCAGAAAGAGCAAUUCAAGUAAGGAUAGUUAACUACUCUCUCGAGUAAGUAGUUGAGAUCAAGUUAAAUGAAGAUGGAACCGAGUUUAGUAAUAAGCUUAAGUCUCUUGCAUACUAAUACAUCAUUUACAUCUAGAAAUAUAGUAUUAAUACAUCAUUUAUAUCUAGAAAUAUAGUAUUUAUGGGAUUGAGGAGCAAAAAAGUGCUUACCUUAAUUAGUAAUUGGGCGCAUGAUUCUUAUCUUUAUUUAUUUAAAUGAUUAAAGAAAAGCUUCUUAACCCUAGAUAAUCAUAUAUUCGUCCUACAAUCCAAAGCCUACUUAAUUACGAGACUGAUUGUUUUCUGACCAUACAUACCCAUCACAUAUCACCAAGACAUUAGUUAUUUAAUUUAAUUUAGAAUGCGUAACACAACUUGAUUCAAAUUAUUUAUAGCUUAUGUUGGAAAAGGCUAAAACCUUAACUCAUAGUAAAAGAUGACAAUUUUCUUGUGUUCGACUUUGGACUCAUUAAAAACCUAUUUAAGUUUACAUUUGGGAUUGAAUAGAAAAAAAAUGUAUGCAUCAUGAUUUCCUUCAUAUCAUCGCACAACAUAAUCAAACAGUACGAAACAACAAUAACUUACUAAUACACUAGGAAGCACAAACACUGGAACACAACAAAUAGAGACACAAAUUUUCAAAAAAGUAGGACACGACACAUUGGGGAUACAUUAUUUUUUAUUAAAAAAUUAAAUAUAUGUAAUGUAUAUAAAUAUAUUGUAUAAUAUUCCAUUUGAAAACAUCAAAACAAGUUAAACAUCAGAAUUCAUGAGUUUAUGUGUGAAGGUUUGGAUGUGAAUGUUGGGUGUGACCAUUUGGACGUGGGGAAAUGAGGGACAUUAUGGUUGUGGGAGGUCUGUCUUUAAGGAAAAGAAAAGGGCAGAGACGAUAAUAAUAAGCCUAAGAUGUGGGAUUGAUGGUCUGUCAUUGGGCUACGCAUUUGCACUUUUAAAAUGUUAGUUUUAGAAAGAUUUUUCAGUUCCAUGUUGUAGAAGCGUUCCAAUCGUGUCUGGGUCUAUCUGAAAUUAAAUAAUAAUGAUAAAAUAAUUGACAAUCCAAUUGACGUGUCCGACACGUGUUGGGGUCGUGCUGGUGUGUGUUCGAUAUCGACACUUGACCAUCUUAAAAAGUGUUGGUGCUUCCUAGCUUAGACAACCUUAAGUUGUUAUCUCUCAUCUUUCUCUCUAAACUUCUAAUGGCAUUUGUUCAAGGAUGUGAAGAAGAUCCCAUGCAAGAAUGAAGGAAGAUGAACAUAGAGCAUAUUAAGUGGUUCAAUUUCAAGGAGCAAAUACUAAAUAGAGUUAUAUAAAUAGAGAGAUUGUUUUAGAGCUAUUGCUGGUUCCAAAUUUACAAUUCAAAAAUUAAAAUUGUUAGUUUAAUUAUAUCAUUUUAAAACGUAAUUAUUAUGUUAAUAAAAGUGCUUAACUUGGUUAUUUGUUUUCUAAUUGAUAAUAUAUGUCGUCUAUGUGGUUAAUAUUUAAGCAUCCUUAGUUCCCAUUAAAGAAAACACAAAGUGGAAAGUGAAAAGUACAUUAUAAAAGGGAAACUCCAAUUCCAAAGCAUUUAAAAUGGAAAGCAGCAUGAAAUGAAAUCACUUCACUCACUCACCAAUGUAAGAGACAGAAACAGAAUCCACAAUGCUCCCAACAAUCUCCUUGGAUUCCUUUAGUAACUUGAUACUCUUCUUCAGCUUCUCCCUCUUCACUGACAACGAUGGUGACUCCUCCAACAUCCUCUCGAUCCCUCCCCCAGAUGGACUCAUCAGCUCCCCGAUUGUCUCUUUCUCGAUCUCCUUGUUCACCAGAUUCUGCAAACCGUACUGCAGGUACAGCGCCGUGCUGUCCACCAUUCUCCUCAAUACAAUCUUCCAGUAUGCUGUCAUCCUCAUCUUCAGAUCAAAAGCCUGCUGAAGAACGUCUGGAUGCUCCCACAAAUUCCCCACUUCGAUGUUUCCAAACCCCUCCAGGAAUACAGUAGCUGGGCGGUAAUCAUUUCUCAGCACCUGAUUUAAGAAUGUCUGUUGCUGGGUCAUGAGCUUGUUCCAUUCUGUUGUGUAUGCAGAAUCACAGGUGUAGUCGGUGAGCUUCUCCAUUUCUACAACCUCUGUUAUCCAACUCAUCGAUCGAUCUUUCAUCCCUUCGACGACGCUUUUCCCUGCUCGUCUGAUGGGCUGCUGGAGCUGUGGAUAGUGUUCAGAAUGCUGCAUCAACACGGCAAGGACAAUGACCUGAAUGUAAUCCCAAACUUUCAUCACAAACUCAACUGGUAAAUUUGAUAUUAAGUUCACUUUCCUCUGCAGAAUCGAGAGGAAGGCGGCACGGGGAAGGAAAUUGGGAAGUCCAAUGCCUCUGGAUUCCUCCAAGACUUUGAUCUCUUCUAUUAGAAAGUUAGCAGUGUUGUCGGUUCCGAUGCACUUGUGGAGCUCAUUGGAGAACUGAUUGAUCAUUUCAACCAUCCUGGCUGUCGAAUGCAUCUUUUCAUCAUCGGGAAACUCAUCAUACUCUCCCCGAAGGAGAAUUUUCCGGAGGGACUCUUUCGCUUGUCCAAUGAUCUGCAUAAAUGUUGUCAUUGCCUCAGCGACUGUCGAUAGUUUCUUCGGCAUCUUGUUGAGCUCAGCAAUAUUUGUAGCUAACUUCUCGUUAAUUUGCUUGACAACUUCCGGCAUGCAUCUUGCUAUGCUACCUGUAACAAGAUUGACAAAUAACAUCAGGUCCCAUUUGGUAAUAGUUUUUAGUUUAUGAAAAUCUAUGAACACCCUUUUCACAUUUAAAGUUCUAUGUUUUCAAAACCAAGUCAAAUUUUGAAAACUAAAAAAUAUUAAAACUUUUUUUGUUUUUGGAACUUAGUUAAGAAUUAGACUCUUUUAUUUAAGAAUGAUGAAAAUCAUGGUACAAAAUCUAGAGAAAAUAAACUUAAUUUUCAAAAACCAAAAAACAAAAACAAAAUGGUUAUCUAAUAGAAACUAAGCUUUUGAGUGAGUUAUUAGUUUGGAUACCUGCUUGAAUUUGCACCAACUUCUGAGCCAAAACUGGAAUGCCCACAACAGAUUUGUCAAUCUUGGAAAGAAGAGGAUGAGUUGAAAACAGUUUGGCUUCUGCAACUCGAGCUUCCUCAUACGUCUCAUUGUCAAUUCGGUUCCUAACGCAAACAUAACCAAGGCCGAUAUUGACGUCGUCCGCAGUGACCUUCUCGUGUAGGCCUUCUGGUGCCUUGUCAGACUUGGUCACAACUGCCAACGUUCUCAUUCCCGUCUUGUCGACACUUUGAGACAUCCGUAUCGAUUCACAAGUUGGAAAAUCAACUGUCGCAGACAAGACAUUCAAGAUGAUGCUCUCUUCUGGCUUGAUAUGUUCCAUGAUUAUAUCUUUUAUUUGGUCAUAAAUGUCUUCAGGCUGAUCUUUAACAGGCACUCUUGUAAUUCCGGGGAGAUCAACCAUCGUAAGAUCAGGAACACCAUUUUUCUUCACAAUCAAAGUCAGUGGCGUUUUCGAUAUCCCUUUGCCACUGCCAGCAAUCUCCUCUGUAGCUGUACUGAUGUCUUCAGCAAUGAAGGAUUCCUCGGUGUGGAUCAUUUUCCCGUUGUACUCCAAAACAAGCUCGGGUUCGGAAUCAGGGUUGUUUUGGAGCCUCAUUAUCAGAGGGACCCUGGUGCAGAUGCCUUGACCUCGAGGUAUGCUGAUCCCAGCCAACGACUCGAGGACGCUUGACUUACCGGAUGACUGAUCACCAACAACAACUAUGGUAGGCAGUUGGAUGCCUUCUCUCAUGAUCAUGAGGUGACGAAGCUUGUCGACAGCAUCAAGUAGAGGACGAAUGCGAUCAUUGUAGGAAAUGAUCAGGGGUGGAACCGACACUGAAUGGCUGAGGCCGCUUGAUUCUCCUUGAUGAACAGAUGAGCUACCAUUACUGUACUGUGCCAUUCUUUGUCUGCAGGCUCUGUUGAGGCAAGAAGACAUAGUUAGAAUUUGAAAAGAGAGAUUAUAAACAAGUUCAUACUUUCUUAUUCAUCAUGAGCAAGUAAAUAUAUAUAACAAUCAUUUCAAUAUUGCUUCCUGUUCCUUAUUUUAUUUGUCAGUUUGAAUGUUGUAUUAUUGUUUUUAUUUCAUAAGUAUUUUAUUCUAUUAUAAAGGGGUUAAAUUACAAGCUAUACUCGAGAAAUAAGUUGCUUAAGUCUAAAUUUUUGGUACUUUAAGUCUAACAAGUCCAUGAACUAUUCCAACAUUUUUAUAGUGCUAUGAAUCUAAUGAUAUAAAGUAAAGGUUGUGUUAGACAUAAAAUUGAAAUUUUGGAUAUUUAACAUUUUGAAAGUUACCUAUUAGACACAAUAGUUUAUGAAGUUGUAAGAUACAUUUUAAAUUUGAUACACUUUCUUUGAUAUCUGUGGCUGUGCAGACUAGUUUAUACACAUAUCAACUAAUCUCAUGGAACAACCCGCCUAACCCAACAACACUUAGUGACAAGAAAACUAGUAGAAAAUUAAUUUCUAAGUGGAUGAUCACGAUGGAUUGAAUAACUGACCUCUUCACUAUUUUAUUAAGAUUGUGUUUCCUUUUUACAACUAAAUCGACCCAUAGUAGUUAAUUUCAAUUACUUAUUAGACAUAAACAUAAACAUGAAAGUUUAAAGACAAAAAAGAUAAAGUUUAGAACGAAAUAAUUCAAAAGGUUUUCAGAUGUGAAAUUAAUUUUUUAUGGUAAUUUGAAUUCAAGGGAGGAAGAAAUGAGAAAUGGUUAACCAAUCUAGCAAAGACUUUUCCUUAGGUUUUUCUAUCUUAAAAACUAGAGAAUAAUCACAGUAGGUUUAGGGAUUUUAUGCUUAUUGGAUUGUCUAAUUGUUAUAUUUAAUCAGUUCAUAACAACAUUUUCUAAGAAUUACAAAUAUAGCAAAAUUUAUUGGUGAUAUACUUUGUUGUAGCUAAUGAGUUUUAUCUCUAAUGUAGAAUCCUAAUAACAGUAUAGCCUAUCAUUGCUAGACUAUGAAAGCUAAAUCUAUAUUUUACUAUAUAUGCAAAUCCUAGUACAUCGUGUUUGUAUAUAUGCUAAUACUUUACUUCUAAUUGUUUCAUUUACAACUAUCUUAAAAGUAAAUUAUAAAAGGAUAAAGAAGAACACUUGUGAAGCCAUUGGUAGUGGCAUAUUGUUUUGCAAAAAGAAAAGGAGAGGAAUAAAGAGUGGAGAAAAGAAAAGUUCUUAUGCUUAUUGGAUUGUCUAUUUCUUGUCUCCAAGAUCUCAUAAAUCGAAAGCUUUGCGGCAACCAAAGUUUGGUUUUUGUGUAGAUUGCAAUGAAGGUCAAGAAUCCUUUCACAAACUUUUUCUUUUUCUUUCCUUUUUUUCUUUUAUAAAUUUUAUAGUGUUUUUUACUUUGAAAAAUGAUUUGAUUUUUUUUCUUACUUGCUAAGAGAUAUGGUAAUAGAGCACAUAAAAUAUCUUUUAAGAGGCCAAAGUGACUGACAUGCACACCUAUUGAGAGUACGUCUUCAACUUUGUACUCUUUAUAUAAUAUAUAUACAGAAGGAACUAAAUAAUAUUAAUAUUAGAAAUUAGCCUAGAAGUGAAACUAUCUCUCAACUCUUCUGGAUCGAAGUUCAAGGCUCACGUUUUACAUUUUUUUCAGAUUAUUUUUAUUAAACUAUAAAGCUGUUAAGUUAGCUUAUUUGCAAUUUCUUAUUUAAGGUUUGUAUAGUUUAAGUACUGGCGUGAUCACACCAUUAUGUUGCUUUUUGUUGAUUUUAUCGAAAGCUAUGUUAAAAAAACCUGAUCACUUAAUUUAGCAAACUAGUGUAACUCGAGUGUUGGAAAGACUAGGGUGUAAAUAGAUGUCACAAAAGGAUAUGAAACUUAAAGCUACCUAUGAAUAGGAAAAGUCAUGUUACUUUAGGAAUAAGGAGCACCCUAGGGUAAAGAAAUUGAACUUUAAAUAAUCUAAGAUUUCUAUUCUACCCAUAGAAACAUUAGGUAGUAGCUUCUUCGAACUCCUAAAGAAACUUGAUACAAGACCAAACAUGUGUAGAUUUUUACGUAUGAAUACUUCAAUAGUUUUGUGUGCUACGUUAGCAUCACUUUUGCUGUAAAGCCCAAAAUGUUGAAGUAUUGUUAGCCCUGUUUGAUCAUCAUCGCCUAUUGUUUUAAAUAACAUUUUUAGUCAAUUCACAACACAAAUUCACUUUGGAUACCUCUGGUUUUAUUAAGUCGCAUCCACAAACAACUUUAACUAUUGUUAGUUUUGUGGGUUCGAUACUUGGAAUACUUUGAAAUUAUUACUUCUUCGACUGUGUAUGCUUGCACUUAGACCUAACUUACCUAAAACAUUUUGUCAUUCAUACUUUAAGUCGAUCAUUUAACAAGGUUGUAUGUUAGUAGUAUAACAUGUGUUAAUCAUUAAAUACCUCUUUUUAGUAUUUGGUAAGUUUUAAGAGAAGUGUUCACAUGAGAUUUUGUCCUUAAUUUUUAGUAUACGUGUUCGAGGUUGAAAUUUUUACCCACUAAUUAUUUCCCUUGCAUGCUUAAACUUUAAUUCAUACACUUGUUGGUUUUCUUAGUUGAUCAACUUGCUGAUCUUUUUAGAAUACCAACAUUUAGGCUUAAUAAUUUGGGAGGAUCGACCUUUGGACUUGUUAAUCUUCUUAGAUGAUUGUCUUUUGGGCUUGAUGAUAUUCAAUUAGAUAAUCAAUCUUAGUCCUAUUGAUUAUUUGGAUCAACCUUUAAUUUGUUACUCAGUGUGAAUCGACUUUUGGCUUUUGAUUAUUUUAAAUUUAUCGUUGGCUUGUUGAUCAAUUUGGAUUAGCCUUUGCCUUAUUGAUAAAGUGGAUCAGCCUUUGGCUAGUUGAUCGACUUAGAUCAACUACUAACUUGAUGAUCCACUCAAGAGUUUUUUCCUCAAGUUUGUAGACUUUCAACCAAACGCUAUGACUUUUGAUUCCUUUUGGUGAAUGACAAUAACUUAAUGUCUAAUUCUUAAAUACCUUGAGGCUCAAUCUUUAACUAAAUUCUCCAAAUGAAGAGUGACCUCCUUGAGUUACAGGGGACCUUUUCUUGAGCUUGGGUCUUUGUAGACCUUUUCCACUAAAUUUUGGUUUAUCUGUGAUAGACCUAUAUUUACAACGUAGUCUAUUAGUGAUGAACUCUUAUCAUUGAUAGAAUUUGAUAAAUUUUGCUAUAUUUGCAAAAAUGCUAAAAUGUUGCUAUAUACUUAAUUAUUUUAAAUCUAAUUGUUAAAUUUGCAACUAUUUCUUUUAAUUAAAUAUAUAACAAGAUUUCAAAAUUUUGCAAAUAUAGCAAAAUCUGUGUCUAUCACUGAUAGACCAUAUUUCAAAUAUUAAUCGUAAAACAUAAGAGGAUUAACGAUAGAAUUCUAAGUCUAUCACUCAUAAAUUUUUCUAUAUUUGCAAAUUUUUAAAAAUGUUACUAUAUACUUCAUUAUUAUUCCUAAACUUGUCACUAAAUAUAAUUACCCCUAAAAUAAUGAGCCGUGACAACUUAUAAAUUUAUAUAGUUGAUUUCAAAUUUAAGAUUCAUUAGCCAACCUGAACUCAACUCAACUAACACAUGUACGUAUUCAAAAAAGAGAGGUCUUGAGUUCAAAUCCACCAAGUUACAUACUCAACAAAUUUAUGAGUCAUUAACUUAGUAACAGUUUCGGAUUGACCAAAAUUUCUCAUAAUGAGGUUUUGAUUUUGAUAUUUGGUGCAAUUGCACAAAAGACUUCAAGUUUAAGCCUAUUUGAGAAAAUUAGUGUUGAGAACUAAACAAAUACGAGAUAUAUUAAAAUAUUUGAUAUGCUUUAAAAUCGGUUAUUUUCAAACUCAAAAUAACUUUAAACGAAUUAAUCACAUACACAUAAUAGAUGUAUACAUAUAUGAACAUACAUACAUGUAUUUCCAUACGGUAGACUUAGAGUAGUCAUGCAUUAGUAGUAUUAACUUCAAACAUAACUUUCAAACAAGUACUAAACGUUUAUAUUCAUAAAAAAAUACUAAGAAAAUUUUCGAAAUUUUUUGUUAUAGUUUAGUCUUUAAUCUAAUAUGAAUUUAUUCCAAAAAUAUUAAAACAUGGAAUGAAUAAUCCUGACAUGGGUUUUUGAUAAUUUAAAUCAAUUGAAGAGAAAACUGAUGAGUGCACAGACUGAGAUAAAUGGAUAAGCACAACGGAAUCCCAAAAUUAUUACGUCAAUUUCAAUCUAAAAGAGAGAUGAUAAUUUGGAAGAAAAUUGAUUUAGACUCUAUAAGAACGUUUUCACAAUUGUUUGGAAAAAUAAAUAGUGAUUAAUUCUUUUAAUAAAAACUGAUUGAGCAAAUGCACAUGCAGUAAUGCAAACCAUCAUCACCAUGCCUAUUCUAGACUUUUUCAAAACUAUUUUACCUUCUUUUAGCACAACACAUAAACACACCUCAAGUAAAAUAAUAUAUUGUCAAUUACUCAUGAACUAUGCUCACAUUUAUACUUUUAUUAUUAUUACUAACUGAUUUUUAAUAUGAAGAAUAGUUUUAUGAAUUUUACAUGCGAACUCAUCUAUUUCAUCAAAUUCAAAUGUGUGUAGUUAUCAAAGUGAACUUAAGUAAACAGUAAUUACUAUGACAUUCUUCCUCCCUUAUUUCGUAGAGGUUAAUAAAAUGAAUUUUCAUGUGAUCUCAUCAUUUUGCGAAGAAAUUCCAUAGUGAAAAAUAAGAUUUGAAAAGAAAAGAAAAAAAAAAGGAGACAAGAUCAACAAAGAUGAUGAAGUGAUUAGGGACAAUCAAGAACAUAUCUGAACAUCAAAGGCAAAUAUUUAAUAUUGAGCCUUAAAUUUUAUUUACAAAAUUUGCAAUCAGAAAUGCAAGAAUUAAAAAUCUUGACCAAAAAUGGAAAUUUCAUAGCAAAGAGAGAUCCAUUCUGGUCAAGGUUGCCAAUUUUAGAGGAGUAAGUAAUGGAUUGCCACGUUUUUAAAAUACCCAAAAAGUUUGGUUCAGCAAAAUCAUCAACCAAUCAUAGUCACAGUCAGUAACCAUCAAGACAAAUUAAUAGCCUUAAUUAUAGCAAAAUGUAGUUAUGAGAGCCACAAAUUCUACAAACCCACCCAUUUCAAAUCCAUAUAUUAACCUCCAUUCUUAAUCUAAACUCAACAAAUAAUGAAAUCUAAACCUUGAGAAACGAAGGGCUUGUUCUUUUUUUUCUUUUCCUUUUUUUUGUGUAUACUUAUUUUCGUUGUAAAACAAGAAAAAAAAUCUUGGGUUAAAAAUUAGAAAAUUCAAAGAAAAACAAAAAGAUGGCGGGAGGUGGAUUUGUUUCUCAAGGUGGUGGAGCGCACCAUGAAGGAAAUGUAAAUACUUUUGUUAUUAUCACUUGUUUGGUUGCCGCGAUGGGCGGUCUCAUCUUUGGAUAUGAUCUUGGAAUUUCUGGUUAGCAUUGUUUUCUACUCUCUUUUUAUGUCUUGUUUUUUGUCUUUUUUGAAGUGAUUCAAACUUUUUAAGGAACUAAGAAAUGUAAAGGCUAAAAUAUGCUACAACCUUCAUGUUACAACAAAUCUCCAAAUCUCCAAUAUGAUAUGGUACGAUAUUGUUCUUUUCUGUCUCUUUUCAGGAGGGGUGACUUCAAUGGAACAUUUCCUCAAGCAGUUUUUUCCAUCAGUUUAUGAACAACAAGCCAAGGCAGCUGGAGGGAACCAAUACUGCAAGUUUGAUAGCCAGUUACUCACAUUAUUCACAUCUUCACUAUACUUAGCAGCACUAGCUGCUUCUUUCCUUGCUUCAGUAGUAACCAGGGCAUUUGGAAGGAAAAUGUCAAUGCUCACUGGAGGUUCAGUGUUUUUGGUGGGUUCGAUCUUAAAUGGUGCUGCCGUCAACGUUGAAAUGCUAAUCAUCGGUCGUUUGUUACUUGGUGUUGGUGUUGGCUUUGCCAAUCAGGUAAUCCUGAUCCUACAAUCAUAUAUCUUCUAAUCUGUCGUACCAAACAAUAUCUGAAGUUUCCUUUUCCAACAAUGCAGUCUGUUCCAGUUUAUCUAUCAGAAAUGGCACCACCAAAGAUUCGAGGAGCCCUGAAUAUCGGUUUCCAAAUGGCCAUUACCAUAGGUAUUCUGGUUGCAAAUCUUGUUAACUAUGGAACGGCUCAAAUUAAAAAUGGUUGGGGUUGGAGGCUUUCUUUAGCUCUUGCAGCAGUACCAGCAAUAAUGAUGACUGUUGGAGCAUUCUUUCUACCUGACACUCCUAACUCAAUCCUCGAGCGAGGCGACAUGGAGAAGGCAAGGAAGAUGUUGAAAAAAAUUCGAGGGUUGGAUAAUGUUGACGCUGAAUUUCAAGAACUCGUCGAUGCAUGUGAGUCUGCAAAGAAAGUGCAACAUCCAUGGAAGAACAUCAUGCAACCAAGAUACAGGCCUCAACUUGUCAUUUGCAGUGUCAUCCCAUUCUUCCAACAGCUUACAGGAAUCAAUGUGAUUACAUUUUAUGCUCCUGUUCUCUAUAAAACUCUAGGUUUUGGUGACAGUGCUUCACUUAUGUCUGCCGUUAUAUCCGGUGCCGUUAACGUCCUUGCUACAAUCGUAUCUAUUGUUACAGUUGACAAGUUUGGUCGUAAAUUUUUGUUCAUGGAAGGAGGCGCCCAAAUGUUCAUCUCCCAGGUAAUCAACUACGUACUGAACUAACACUAAUUCAUAGGCUCAAGUUGAUAGGUCUAAGACCAAUAUAUUCAAAAUGCUGGUGUUGGAGUUGAAAAUCAAAACCUCAUAUAUCGUUUUGACCUACAUAUUUAAGAUAUUCCUAUUACUUGCUCCGUAAAAUCAUUAUUUCACACUCCUUCAAAUCCUAAAGACUAUCCAACUCUAACACAACUUUGCAUAUUCGUUCCCAGAUAGCGGUGGGAAGCAUGAUAUGGAAGAACUUUGGAGUCAAUGGUGAAGGAUCAAUGUCAGGAGGUAUUGACGCAGACAUCCUACUGGCUCUAAUCUGUGUAUAUGUGGCAGGAUUUGCAUGGUCUUGGGGCCCACUGGGUUGGUUGGUACCAAGUGAAAUCUGCCCGCUAGAGAUCCGAUCAGCUGGACAAGCUAUAAAUGUGUCGGUGAACAUGUUCUGGACAUUCGUCAUUGGUCAAUUGUUCCUCUCGAUGCUUUGCCACAUGAAGUUCGGUCUCUUCUAUUUCUUUGCAGGGUUUGUGGCGCUUAUGACCAUUUUCAUUUACUGGUUUUUGCCUGAGACCAAGAAUGUCCCAAUUGAGGAAAUGAACAGCGUAUGGAGGGCACAUUGGUUUUGGGGGAAGUUCAUUCCAGAAGAUGCAGUGAUUGGUCCUCAUGUUGGUAUGGAACCGUAUGGCAAAGGUGUCUGACUUAGAAGUUGCAGCAACACAGCCAUAAGAUUUGUUCUGUGUUUGGAACUUAGAUUUUUAGUAGGAUAUGAGAUAAUUAAAAUAAGAAGAGAGUUGUCUUAAUUUCGAUUCUUUAUGAAUGUAGACUCAUCUCACAAUUUUGACUAACUCAUUCUAAGAUGCUCAAUUUGGGCUUUUAUGGGUGCCUCUGAGAGUGCUUUGUAAUGAUGUUAUAAUAAGCAGUUUAGUAAAAAACAAGAUUUUGAUGUUUGGUUCUAUAUUGGAUCUUGAAGUGCUUCAUAAUCAAUCAUUUCCAGUAAAAGUAAUCCAUAACUGUGCUUCAUCACAAAGCAGUUGAGAAUGAUAUUGACUUUUCUCAAAAAGGAAUUUAUAUUCCUUCUCAACAUGAAAAUUUAGAGUGCUAGGUGUUUUACUAUGACCAAAGCACUCACACAAGUUUUUUCCCAUAAUUUUAUAUUUCCUUCUUCCUAAAGCUCAUAUGAAGUUCUCUAGGAAGAACCAAACAGAAGCGAACAGAGGAAAUUUAGAUACUCUAAGAAGAUACUCAAACAUGUAGUGAUCAUAUUCAUAGCAGGAACACCAAGUGACGUGUACAGAAAAAAAAAAAAAAAGGGAAGAUAAUUUUCCUCUCAAACUGAUUUUUUCGUAAGAUUUUUUAAAAGCCAACAGAAAAGAGCAAAGAAAAUAGAGGCAUCUCAGAACGAACACAAUAUGUAGAUAGUUUGAGUUCUUAUGGUUUUGGAGAGCUCUUAUUGUGUCUCGUUCUGCUUUCGUCGCCUUUUGUCCGAUAGGGAAACAAAAGGAUAUUCGUUGUUUUCGAGGGGUUUUAUUAUAAUUCUGUUUUUCAUUACUUACUUCAUCUUUCCUCUGUAAAGAGAGUCCGUUUCUUCCGUUCUUUGGAAUAUAAAAAAAUUCUUAAUUAGAAACUAAGAGUUUAACUACCAAAAAUUAAAACGUUACAUAAUAAUUUUAAAAAUUAAAUGAGUAUUUUUUAAAUAGCAAAAUGAACCAAAAUGUUUACAAAUUACACCAAAACUUCGAAAUCUACAAUGGUUAAUCAUAUAUUUUGUAAAUAUUUCGUAAAUAUUUUGUUUUACAUUUAUAAGAAUUUUCCAAAAUGAAAAUUAACUUCAGCUAAGGGGUUAAAUGUUUAAUUCUCUGCCAUGAAUUAGAAUUCAAACAUUAACCUUCAAAAUAUUUCUUCUAUAAAUUAUAUGGACUAAAAUAUCCAUAAAUUUGCUAGAUGUGUUUACAUUUUUUUAAUUAGUUCAUUUUAGGUUAAAAAGACUAUUUUGUCCCUCAAGCUUUUACCGAAGUAACCAUUCACUUCUUAAACUUCCAUUUAUGUACAUUUAGUUUUGUAACAAUUUUAACAUUGAAUCUUUAGUAUAUAACGAUUUAGUCCUUAUUCACUUCUUAAACUUUAAUUUAUUUACAUUUAGUUUUGUAACAAUUUAAUCAUUGAAUCUUUAGUAUAUAACGAUUUAGUCCUUAUCAUGAUAAAUCUUAUCAACAACCUUAGAUGUUAAUUUUUAUUAAGUAGCGACAAAUUUGAUUCCUACUCAAUUUGUCUAUCCACCUAAAUAAUAAAUUUCAAUAGAAUUUAAUAAUAUUUUUUACAAUAGGGACAAACCUAUCGUUACAAAUGAUAAAAUAUAGGGCCAAAAUUGCUGUUUAUUAAAAUUCAGAAAAAAAAUUGUUAAAAAUACAUUAACUAUAUUAUUACCUUUUUUUUCAAAGUUGAGAGAUCAAGAGUGUUUUCGAACUUUAUGAUUAUGUUAUUUUGCUUUAUUGGUUUUUGUCUCUUGCAUGAUAGUAGGUUUUUUAAGUAAAGUAUCCAUAGAUUAUUUUUUUGUGUUUUAUUUAAUUAAUUAUGAUUUUUACAUUCUGUUUUAUUAAUUUCAAAUUAAAUUACAUCUUAUGGUAGUCUUGCAAAAUACUUAGAUAAAGACCUAAGCUCCUUGACUAAAGAAAUGGUUUGAAAAGAGAGGCAUAAGGUUAAAAGGCUUUAUCAUUAUCAUGAUCCACUAAAGAUAUCCAACUUAGUAUUUUUUUUUUUUUCUUUUUAUUUUGAUAAAAAAACAAUCAUACUCAAAGUAAGCUUAGUUCAAUGAUAAUUUGGUUAAUCUUCCAUUUAAGGUAGAAGGUUCAAUCCAUCGUUAACACCCAAUAGUUAUACUAAAAAACAAUGAUACUCAACUUAUUGAUUAAAGAUCACUAUUCAGUUUGUUGCAAAAAAUAUAAAAAAAUCCAGGUUGACAAUAAAAAUGAACUAUCAUUAAUCUAAAAGAAAAAAAAAACUAAGUUAGAUAACAUAGUGUCUAGUAAACAAUCAAAUAAAUGUUUGAGAUAAUUGCAAAUAUAACAAUUAGAUUCAAUUAAAUUAAAAAUAUUUGGAAUAAUUGCAUAUAUAAUAAUUAGAUUCAAAAUAAUUAAAUGUAUAACAACAUUUUAAAAAAAUUGUAAAUAUAACAAAUCUGUCAAAGUGAAGAUAGAAGUUUAUCAUUGAUAAAUUUAUCAUUGAUAAGUUUUGCUAUAUUUACAAUUAUUUUAAAUUGUCACCCGUUAUAAUUACCUAAUUGCUUUUUGUAAAUGUAAAUGAGUACCCUUAUGAAAGUUUGAUGCCGUGCGGACGAGGCUGGUCCUAGAAUUGAGAACAAAUGGACUUGGUAAAAUACCAGUAGCUAAAAUUUGAAUGGCAGAAUUGUAUAUACGCCAAGAAGCUUGAAUGAGUAAAACUUCUCAGCCACUUAAAAUCACUUUCAACUACUUUCAAAACCAAUUAACAGCCUUAAUUACAGCACAAGUCGUUAUGAGAUCCACAAAUUCUUCAAACUCCAGCCAUUAACAACCACUUUAAUGCCAUAUAUAAACCUCAACUCUUGUUUCAAACGGUAGAAAAUAAUGAAAAAUAAAACUUAAGAAACAAGGUUUUCUUUUUCUUUUAUCCUUUUCUUUUUUCUUUUUUAUGUGUGUAUUUCAUUUCAGUUUAUAAUUUUUUUUUGUUGAAAAUAACAAAAAAAAAAUCUCUGAUACAUGUUAUCUUGGGCUAAAAAUUAGACAAUUAAGAGAAAAGAAAAAAGAUGGCGGGAGGUGGAUUUGUUUCUCAAGGUGGUGGAGCGCACCAUGAAGGAAAUGUAAAUACUUUUGUUAUUAUCACUUGUUUGGUUGCCGCGAUGGGCGGUCUCAUCUUUGGAUAUGAUCUUGGAAUUUCUGGUUAGCAUUGUUUUCUACUCUCUUUUUAUGUCUUGUUUUUUGUCUUUUUUGAAGUGAUUCAAACUUUUUAAGGAACUAAGAAAUGUAAAGGCUAAAAUAUGCUACAACCUUCAUGUUACAACAAAUCUCCAAAUCUCCAAUAUGAUAUGGUACGAUAUUGUUCUUUUCUGUCUCUUUUCAGGAGGGGUGACUUCAAUGGAACAUUUCCUCAAGCAGUUUUUUCCAUCAGUUUAUGAACAACAAGCCAAGGCAGCUGGAGGGAACCAAUACUGCCAAGUUUGAUAGCCAGUUACUCACAUUAUUCACAUCUUCACUAUACUUAGCAGCACUAGCUGCUUCUUUCCUUGCUUCAGUAGUAACCAGGGCAUUUGGAAGGAAAAUGUCAAUGCUCACUGGAGGUUCAGUGUUUUUGGUGGGUUCGAUCUUAAAUGGUGCUGCCGUCAACGUUGAAAUGCUAAUCAUCGGUCGUUUGUUACUUGGUGUUGGUGUUGGCUUUGCCAAUCAGGUAAUCCUGAUCCUACAAUCAUAUAUCUUCUAAUCUGUCGUACCAAACAAUAUCUGAAGUUUCCUUUUCCAACAAUGCAGUCUGUUCCAGUUUAUCUAUCAGAAAUGGCACCACCAAAGAUUCGAGGAGCCCUGAAUAUCGGUUUCCAAAUGGCCAUUACCAUAGGUAUUCUGGUUGCAAAUCUUGUUAACUAUGGAACGGCUCAAAUUAAAAAUGGUUGGGGUUGGAGGCUUUCUUUAGCUCUUGCAGCAGUACCAGCAAUAAUGAUGACUGUUGGAGCAUUCUUUCUACCUGACACUCCUAACUCAAUCCUCGAGCGAGGCGACAUGGAGAAGGCAAGGAAGAUGUUGAAAAAAAUUCGAGGGUUGGAUAAUGUUGACGCUGAAUUUCAAGAACUCGUCGAUGCAUGUGAGUCUGCAAAGAAAGUGCAACAUCCAUGGAAGAACAUCAUGCAACCAAGAUACAGGCCUCAACUUGUCAUUUGCAGUGUCAUCCCAUUCUUCCAACAGCUUACAGGAAUCAAUGUGAUUACAUUUUAUGCUCCUGUUCUCUAUAAAACUCUAGGUUUUGGUGACAGUGCUUCACUUAUGUCUGCCGUUAUAUCCGGUGCCGUUAACGUCCUUGCUACAAUCGUAUCUAUUGUUACAGUUGACAAGUUUGGUCGUAAAUUUUUGUUCAUGGAAGGAGGCGCCCAAAUGUUCAUCUCCCAGGUAAUCAACUACGUACUGAACUAACACUAAUUCAUAGGCUCAAGUUGAUAGGUCUAAGACCAAUAUAUUCAAAAUGCUGGUGUUGGAGUUGAAAAUCAAAACCUCAUAUAUCGUUUUGACCUACAUAUUUAAGAUAUUCCUAUUACUUGCUCCGUAAAAUCAUUAUUUCACACUCCUUCAAAUCCUAAAGACUAUCCAACUCUAACACAACUUUGCAUAUUCGUUCCCAGAUAGCGGUGGGAAGCAUGAUAUGGAAGAACUUUGGAGUCAAUGGUGAAGGAUCAAUGUCAGGAGGUAUUGACGCAGACAUCCUACUGGCUCUAAUCUGUGUAUAUGUGGCAGGAUUUGCAUGGUCUUGGGGCCCACUGGGUUGGUUGGUACCAAGUGAAAUCUGCCCGCUAGAGAUCCGAUCAGCUGGACAAGCUAUAAAUGUGUCGGUGAACAUGUUCUGGACAUUCGUCAUUGGUCAAUUGUUCCUCUCGAUGCUUUGCCACAUGAAGUUCGGUCUCUUCUAUUUCUUUGCAGGGUUUGUGGCGCUUAUGACCAUUUUCAUUUACUGGUUUUUGCCUGAGACCAAGAAUGUCCCAAUUGAGGAAAUGAACAGCGUAUGGAGGGCACAUUGGUUUUGGGGGAAGUUCAUUCCAGAAGAUGCAGUGAUUGGCCAUCAUGUUAGUAUGGAGCCGUAUGGCAAAGGUGUCUGAAUUUGACGUUACAAGAAUACAGCAAUGAGCUUUAUUCUGUCCUUGGAAUUGAGAUUUUUGGUAGAAUAUGAGACAAUUAUAAUAAGGAGAGGAGAGUAAGGAGUUGUUUUAAUUUUGAUUCUCAAUAAAGUUAACUCAUCUCACAAUUUUGAUGAAUACAUUCUAAGAUGCUCAACAAUUUGGGCUUUUAUGUGGUGCAAAUAAACUUGUGUAUAUUUGAAAUUGCUUGGUAAUGAUAUUAUAAUAGGCAGUUUAGUAAGAAAAACAAACAAACAAACAAAAGUAUAUGAUUUUGAAGUUUGGUUUUGUACUCGCUCUCAAUGUCCUUCCCAAUCAAUCGUCCCUUCUGAAAGCACUCUACAAGUGAGCUUCCUCACAAAGCACUAAUUAGCAUUCCUUCUCAUCAUGAAAAUUCAGAGUGGGAGGUGUUUGGGCAUGCCCAAAUCACUCCCACAAGUUUAUUUCCACCAUUUUCACUUUCCUUCUUCCUAAAGCUCAUACAAAGUUUUGUAUGGAAGCAAACAGAAAAGCACAGAGAAAACUAGGGUCACCAAGAAUAAACAUAAACAGGUGGUGAUCAUACAGUAACACCAACGAAAAAACGUUUUACCCAAAACAGAGAUUUCUAGGGAAACAAAGAGAAACAUGUAAUGACAAUGAAGUAAAUGUAAAUGCAUCAAAGAUCAACGUUUAGACAAAACAGAAAGAAGCCAUUUCCAGAAAGCAAAAACACAGAUCAAAAGUAGGCAUUAAAGAGUAUAAAAUGCACUUACAAAUUUGAAGACACUGGGAAGAGAAAGAUGAAGAGAGGGUGACUUGUUUAGAAGCAGAGGUAGAGGGAUUCUUUUGAUUGUAAUUUUAUAGAGAAAGGAAAGAGGAGAAUGGGGGUUUGAAGCUUUGGGUUUUGGGAGAAGGAAGAGUAUGAAUAUGUCAUGGAGAUGACGUGGGAGUGAGCUAUUUACUUGCUUUAUUAACUUUUCCCCUUUUCCGUACAUAUUAUAUUAGUAUUUAUUAGAUGGUUGGAAGGGAACUAUUGGAGUUGGGGUUUUCUUUGAGACGACCACUGAAGUUGAUGGCCUUAGGCCUUAGACUACUUUUGAUUCUCUACAGGGACUCAUCUCAUGGCUUCCUCAAAGGGUGAGCUUCCUCCUAAUUUCCAAUAUUAUAUUACUUUUCAAAUCUAUCAAUAUAAUAUUUCAACCAUUUUCAAAUAUAACAAAAUAUAGAAAAUAUUUAUAUUUAGUAUUUUUCAUUCAUAGCUAUAUUUUUUCUAAAAAAAAAUUCAAAUUUGUAAUUAAAAAAAAAAACUCCAAACUUUCAUGAAAAACAAUAAUUUAAACAUGCAUGUUAGUAGGGAUGUUCGGGGACAGGGCGGGGUAGGACGAAGGCGUCAUUCUCCAUUCCCAUCCUCAAUCCCUAUGAAAUUCUUCCUGGUAUUGAAUUGUAAUUAGAUAAUUAGAUUUAUCACCAAAUUGUUUGUUGGGUUAGUUUUAUAUGAAAAUUUAAAUUUAAAUAUAAUCUAAUCAAUAUUUUGUAUAAAAAACUAAUCAACUUUUUUUUUUUGUCAAAAUAAAUUAUGCAGGUGUACAAUGUAAAUUUAAAUAUUGAAAUUAAACACAUUAAUUAUGUUUGAAAAUAAACAAUCAAAUUUGAAAUUUAAAUAUUUGUUAAUUUUAUUCAUUGGUAUUAUUUCAUCUAACAUAUAGUGGAGAUGUCGAGUAGAUGUAGUCAAACUUUAGUUAAGAAUGUGAAAGAAAAUAAACAAAGCCUUCUAAAAUAAAGGAAGACAUUCAUUGAAAAUAUUAUAUAGUAAGUGAAUAUAACAGAAAAUAAUUAAAUAAAAAUAUUCACAGAAAAAUAAUUAAAUAAAAAAAUAAAUUUAGAAAUUUAGAAAUAUAUUAAUAAGAAAAUAAUUAAAUAUUUAAAAGAUAAUUAAGGAGAGAUAAUAUUUUAUAAUAAGAUUGUGUAAUAAAUCCAAAAAUGAUAUAUUGUAUUUAAAAAUUUUACAAAAUUAAAAUAUGAAAAAGAAAAUCAAAAGAUUAAAAAUGUUCUAAAAUGUUUUCGGAAUAUAAUCAUGAAAUAUAUUUGAAUUUUAAGACAUUUAUGAAAUAUUAGUUACAAAGUAGGUUGAUUUCAUAAAUUUUUCAUAUUAAUAUCAAUUUGAAUCAAAUUGUUUUAUUUAAUUAAUGGUCACCAUAAAAAUAUUUCACAUCAUCAAAUUAGUCAAUUUAUGGGUUAAAUUUAAUUUGAAACCGAGAUCAAACUUCAAUUGAUUUCAAACUUAUUUACUUGAUCUAAAAUUUCUUAAGAGAGGUGAACAAAAUCAUUAUUAAAAAAUGAAGCGUAAUAAAUUAGAACCAACAAAUCUAAACUUUCUAAGAAAACAAAAAGAUGAGAUAAAUAAUGAAUUACAAUAUUUUAGUGUACUUUAGGUUCCUUUGGUUACUGUUUUAACUUUAAUUUUUAUGUUUUUGAAUUUCUUUUUGUUAGAAAAUCACUUCAAAUUGCAAAUGGCUAAAAAAAGUUGAGAUAAAAAUAAAAAUGAUAUAUAUAUAUAUGACUUUGAGGUGUAAUUUAAAGAAAAAACUAUACUGGUAAAACUAGAACUCUUGUUAGAAGGAAACUGACAAAUAUAGUUACCACUAAAUUACCUACAAAUAUUAAAUAAUUGAUUUUCAGCUACUUGGAACGGAAGAAUUUGAAAAGUUCCAUGUAAGGGCUAAGAAACUAAAGAAAAGUGAAUAAUAAUGUUUUUAUUUUAUUUGGCAUUUUACCUUUAUUGUUAGUGGGAAUGAAAGAAGCAUUUGGUGGACUUUACUUUUUCAAAGUCUAUGGAAGAAAGAAUUUGAGAAAAGAAAAGUAUGCAUGAAAGUGAUUUUUUAAUUACCUUCGUCUGCAAGUAUGGUGUUAACUAAGGAGAGAUGUGGAAAAUAUGAGGCAGCUGGGAAUUGGUAUUUCUCUCCUUGCAAAAAAAAAUAAAACACUCCAUAACAACACAGAAAAGAACUUUGUCGUAACUUAAUCCCUUUGUUUGAGUUCAAUAAAAAAAUGCCGACAAUUUUCACGUGAUUUAUUUUGUAAUAUAAAUAUGUGAAUUUAAAAUUUGCAGAUGAAAAAGAAAAGACAAAAAGAAAGAAUAAUACAUUUUUCAUGGAAUAUUGUUGAGGGAUUGAAAGUUUAGAUCAUCGAUUUUGUUGCAUUUUUUUUUUUUAAAAAAAGAGGUUUAGGAAAUAAGUUAGGGUUAUAUAUGAGUUUUUUUUUUUCUUCCUCUUUUUAAAAAAUUAUUUUCUUUUUAGAAAAUCAAAUUAUCUUCCUCUUGGAAAAUCAUUGAAAUUUAGGAAGAAAUUUGAUAUCUUCCUUUUAGGAAAUGAUUAAAUUUUAAGAAGAAAUUUGCUAUUUAGGAAAAGAAAAUUAUUGAUAUUUGAGAAAAGAAAUAUAGAAUAAAAUCUAUUUUGUAAUAAUUUAGGAAGAAAUUUGAUAUUUGAGAAAAAAAAUUAUUGAUAUUUCUAAGAAAAACCAUUUCGUAAAAGUUAAUGGUUGUAAAUGAGAUUUGAACUCAAAACCAAGAGGUUGUGCAAGGGGCACAAUCACAAUAAUAGAAAUGACGCAAAAUUUAAUAUAUAUAUUAUAAUCUAACAUUUCAAAAUUAAUAUUAAAAUACAAAAAUCGAUAAUGUGAGGGGGUGCUCAUGGUCCCUUAAUAAAUCUGCCCUUAAACACGUACGAUGAUAUAUAUGUGGUAAUGAAUCCUUUUGUGUUGUGUGAUAUAUGGCCAUGUUAUUUAUAUGUAGGUAAAGAUUUUGCUUAGACACAUAAUUCCUUGAUAUUUCAUUAAGGUUUUAAGUGUACAACUUAAUUCUGUCAGUGAAGUAUCACUAUGCGUAAAAAAUUUGUAGUUGUGAUAUCUCACUUCCAUGCCUUGAAAUUCCAAUAAUGAUAUGUCGUCGUGUGUAUAUAUGUUCCAACCCAACAGUCUUGAUGGCUACUAGUUCCAACAGGUCUCAACAUUGCUCACUACUUGAUGCCCGCAAACAUCUCCAACAUCGGUGACUCCAUUGUUGCACCCCUGCUCCCAUUUACAUACCAAUGUUGGCCACUCAAUUGCUUGAUUUUCCUAACGCGAACGUUGAUUUCACUACGAAGAACACCUAUUUUAAUCUUAGGGUGCCAAACCCCUAACCCCUUCGAAAAUAUGAAUCUUACACAUUCUCUAUAUUUUUAGAUACCUUUUUGCAUUCUUGAAUUCAUCUAGGCUAUUUUCCUUUGUUUAGGUCGAGAGAAGUUUGAAAAGGUUUGCAACCUAGCACUACAAGAAAGAGGGACUCUUCCGACGCAUAAAAUUGUCGAGAGAUAUAUGAAAAGCGUCGAAAAAGGCUUUUCCAACGCAUAAAUAUACGUCGGGACACAAGUCGAGAGUGAAGGGAUAAAAGCCCUAUGGCAGCGGAAGAAUUUAAAUUAAUUUGGAAAUCUUAAAAUACCCGUACAUUGGCAAAAUUUUAGAAUCAAAAUUCUAAAUAAAAACUAAGCAUGCUUUUAAAUUAAAGAAGACAGAGAACUUACUUUACAUGACGUCUCUGAAUCUACAAAUCACCGAAUUGGGGACACCACCCAUCAGACCUUCUUAUUUUCGAGGAUGAGAUUGGUUUGUAGGAACCAAUUGGGAUGGAAAAAAGGUUUGGAGAAACUUUUUUCUUUUUGUAGAGAGAAAAAACUUUGGCUUUUUUUUUUUUUAUGAAUUUCGUUAAAGAAAACUGUUUUCUUCUAAAUAUUUAUAACUCUCUUUCCUUUUGGAAUAUGAAAAGAAGUAGGAGAGAAUCAUGAAAUUUUAUUAUCAAAUCUACUAAUUAAUUAACAAUUAAUAAUUAAUUAAAUCAUAUUUCAUUAAUAUUUCAUUCAAAUCUUAUUUAAAUAAAUAUUUGUCUCAUAUCUUAUAGAUUUAUAUUAAUAUAAUUAAAUCAUUUUUAAUUAUAUUUCAUUCAAAUCUUAUUUGAAUGAAUAUCUCUUCAAUAUUAUUUUAUAAAUUUAAUUAAAUAAAACUAAAUUAUUAAUUAAUUAAUAGUUAAAUUAAAUAUCUUAUAUUCAAUUUAAAUUAAAUUUGAAUCAUAUUCAAAUAUAAGUUUCACUCAUAACCAAUAAUUUUGAUAUGAAUCCAAUUCACAUUAAAUUAAUAUUUGAACUUAUUCAAAUAUUUUAUCUCUCAUAAAUUAACUUUGAAUAUAUUUUAUCUCUCAUAAAUUAAGUUUGAAUCAUAUUCAAAAUUAAAUUUAUAUAAUAAAGUUUCACAAACUUUAUAUUAUAAUGUAUCACUAAACAUUAAACUAAUUCCCUAAGUAAAUUUGAACAUUUCAAAUUACAACCAAUAUAAAUAAAUCUCAUUAUCCUUUACGAGCUAGGAAGGGGACAUAAUGGACUUACAGAUCAGGCGCUACAACGAUCUGAGAUUAAUUGGCUAAACUCAUUAAUCACAUUAAUCAAUAUUCGCUAACUGUGUGUACACUCCACUAAAGACUCACAGCUGAACUCUUCUCUCUGUAGAUAUAUUUCUAUGUCCACGGAUAUAGACCAAUAACAGUAAAUUAGUCCUUCAUAAGUGUUCGUAACAUCAGUUGGGUCAAUUUAUCGUUUUACCCCUACGUUACCUCUAAUCUGUAAAUAUCAGUGCUCCUCCAAUGAACAACUUGUUUAUGGUCCUACCAUUAAACAGAAACACUUUUCGUGCCAUAAAGAGGGUAGGGCCCUUUGUUCAAGACCUGAAGACACCAUUUAAGGAACACUCAUCUACUUACCCUAAAAUAGGGAAUAAGUGAAUUCCAUAUUAUGUAAUUAUGUUCUCAGCUCUCCACUCGGUCUUGUCCUCAAAAUGAUAAGCUUAUUGAGUCGGCGAUCUAUCCACUCUCACUUGUACAAAUCAAAGGACAAUCUCUCGCGUAACCUGCAAUUAAUGAUAUGUCCUUCCUCUGACACAACAGUGUAGACGUCGGGAAUAGGUAUCCAUUUUCCGACGCACUUGACACCACGUUGGAGGAAGGCCAAAGAGUACAAUUAAUUGACUGCCCUCUACUGACGUUACACUUUCCACGUCGAGAAUAGGGGUCCAUUUCCCGACAUUUCUCGACAUACCUGGCACCACAUCGGACGAACCCUAAACCAUUCCAACCAGUUCCAAUCCUCAUGUGUCUGUGUCGGGAGGAAUAUCUUUCCCCGACGUGCACCAAGAUGCAUCAGGAAACACUAGCUUCUAUUGAGUCAUGCUUUUCAACGAUUUUUCCUACGUUGGAAAACUUUUGAUUUCUUGUAGUGUAGUUGGAAGUUAGUCAGAGAUCUAUGAGUGACAUAUUGUUUUUUUAGAGCAUGAUUUUAAGCAUGGAUUAACAUGUUUUCUCUACAAACCAUGAUUUCUGUUAGAGUCGGGGUGGACUCGUCUUCAAAUAACAAUAGAAUAUUUGUUAAGAAAGUUGUUCUUAAGAAGACCUUCGUAGAUUUGAAGUUAUUAAAAGAAUAUUCUUUAUAUAAAAAAUAUUCUUUUAAUUAAUUAUCCUAUCUCAAAGAUAUUAUUAUGAUUUUUUUUAGAAUCUUAUAUUCCCUUUAUUUGUGGAAUAAAAGAGGAUUUUUGGAUAAUAUAUAUAACCAGCGUCCUUUGGCUUCUUGGGUUUGCGGAAAAAGAAAAUAAAAAGGGUGUUACGUGUGAAUUUAAAAAGCAAAAAAAAUAAAAAGCAUCAAAUAAGUAAUCGAUUCUUCCUGGGAAUUUUUUUCUUUUGCGUUUUGUGAAAAAUAUUGACCUCACAAGAAACUUCCGACAGUGGCGGUGGCGGUGGCAACGACAAGGAUGAAAAUGUCCUCAUCUCCUCUCUCGAUUUCUCUUUCUUUCUUUUUACGUUUAUGAUUCGAUUUUGUGUUGCAGGGAAGAAAUAGGCUAAACUUUCCCCGACUAUUUGAAAACGUUGGGGAAAGAGCCUUUUCGCGAAGUGUAUCGUACACACAUUGCGUAAAUGUUUAACUUUCCACGACGUGUGGUAGGGUGAUGUUGUGGAAUUACAUUCUGUGACAUCAAUGUCUCAUGCGUCGCAAAAAAUUAAAAUUUGUCAUUUCAAAUAAUAAUAAUAAGAAGAUGAUGAUGAUGAAGAAGAAAAAGUACAUGUUGACAAUGCUGACAAUGUGCUGACAAGUACGUGCUGAAAUCCUUCCUCGACGUGCUGACAAUGUGUGUCGGUGAACCUUUUUGCAUGUCGACGCAAUAUGCGUCGGAGAAAGCACAUCGGAGAAAGUAUCCCCGAUGUGCUUUCUCUAACAUACAUGUGGACAUUGACUGAGACGUCGGGGUAACCUUCUCCAACGUGUUUUGGGGUUUUUGCCAACGUGGGGCUGCAUUGGAGAAGACCCUAUUUCUUGUAGUGUUCCUAUUCUAUAAACCCUUUAAGUUGUAUCUCGAACAUUGAUCUCUGUAUGUCUCUACAUACUAUUCAAGACUCAUCAAACAACUUAGGAUGUUAGUUUAUUGGAUUUAAGUUAUUAAGACAAAACUAAUAAUAUAAUCAAUAACAUUUAUUGAAAUAAUAACACUUUAUUAAUAACGGUUAAUGAAUUAUAUUUACUAUCUACGAGUUUUAGGACAUAAAACCCAACAUCAACAACUUAAACUAAAGAAGCGAUUGAAGGAAUUUCAGUUGUGGACAACUGUGACUAUAACUGAGCCACUGGGCGUGGGUGUUGGCAAUUGCAACUGAGCAAGAAAUGUGUGGGCGACUGAAGAAAUUUUGGUUGGCUAAAUAGAAGAUGGGAAGACGGGAUGACUGCGUGUGAGACAACGAGGCAAGCGACUUCAACGUGAGCGUGCGGUGCAACGAAAAGCCAAAAGGUUUAGGUUUUAGGUUUUCUUUAUAUAUAUCAAAUAAAUAACUAGAUUCAGGUUGACCUAGGAUGACUCAAAUGUGACUUGACUCAAGUUAUAAUUUAUCCAAUUUUGUAAUCCAACCCAACACAAAAUUUAAUCAGAUAAGUUGGUCAGAUUAUCGAUUUUUUUUACUAUCCCUAUUUGUAGGUUUGUAGUGUUUAAACCAGAGACCAUAAGCAUCACCCCCAAGGUAUGUUCUUCUUACUUUUAGCUUGUUGUGACAAUUUGAUAAUUAUUGACUUAAGCAUCAACGAUUUUAUUUGUGACAGACACCAAAUUUGAUGUUUUCUGGUGUGUUUCUUCUUAAAAUUAUAAAUUUACCAUUGAAGGCAGGUAAAAGCAAGUCUACCUAAACAAAUUUUUGCCAUGAAGGCCAAUCUUGACUGUAUCAAGUUUUUAUUAAAAUAGUUUUCAAAUAAUAACGAAGACCAUAAAAUAGCUCUUUCCCUCGUGAAAUGCAUGCAUGCAAAUUAUUUAAUUGGGGUCAAAACAAAAUAUUUGAAAGCUUAAAGAAAAAGCUGGAAAACAUGAUAUAGACAUAAAUGUUUACAAAUGAAUAAGAAAAAUGCUUUUAAAUUUUAAAAGUUCAUUAAGAAAAAGGAGAUAAAACAAAGAAAACAAGAGAAGGAAAAGGCAUGGGAGAGAGCUGAGUUAUAUAUUGUGAGGCCAAUGCGUUGUCACAACCCAAACCCUUUCUUCCUCUCUAUAAAUUAAAUUUCCACUUCUCAUUGCCAUUCUUCAAUUAAUGUAUACCAUACUCUUCUUCAAAUUUCUCUUCUCCUAUAUACUUCUUUAAAGUUAAAAGAAAAAUGGCAAGCUCCACCCUCUUCAAAACCCUUCCAAACUUUGGUCAUUUUGGUGGUGCAAUUACAACAAGAUUAUCAACCUCAAAACCUACUCUCAUUAUGCCUUCUAACCCUAAAUUUGUUCACGUAGGUGUUGUUUACGAUGCUUCACGUUUUGUCGAAUAUUUGAAAUUGUAAAUUAACCUUAAUGUUUGUAUAGCUCAUCUUACAUGUUGUUAAACCAAAAAGGAAAGGUACUGGGUAGGGUUAAACAACAAGUGCUAUGACUUGUUUGUUGUAUUAAUUUGAAUGGUGUGAAUAAUGAAAGAAAGGUAUAUUAUUUGUUGUAUUUUGGACAGAGAAGUCAACCAGAAGAUAGGUGAGAAGCCAAAGAUGGCAUAAAUACAGGAGCUAAUGUGGAAAUGGUAAUGCAUGGGGAAAAUAUGAUGAACCAUAAGGCUUACUCUACUACACAGUAACAUGAAUCUAACUCCAAAAUAUUUAUAAAAAUAGAUUUAAAAGGUUGUUAUAAGGUUUUAUAAGGAUGAUUUUAAAAAAUAACAAAUAAACUCAAAAUAUUUAUAAAGAAUAGCAAAAUUUUGUAUACUUCUACGAUUUCAACUAUGGUAGUUGCAAAUGAAUAAUAAUUAAGGAUAUAAUAACAUUUUUAAAAAAUUGCAAAUAUAGCAAAACUGUUGUCGAUAGAUUUUAUCGACUAUUCCACGAAUUUUCAAAACCGGCCCAAGCCCACUUCAAACCCAAGCCCAUUAAUAGUGGAUUACUCACAGUCCAAUAAAGUUCAUCUCUUCCAACCGGUCUUCUUCAACAAAUUUUCUUCUCUUUUUCUUCUUUUCAAAUUUGCUCAACAAUUGGUUUUUGUCAAUAGUUUCUUUCAACUUUUUUUUUUUUUCUGUUUCCAAUUUUGAUUCAAUAACCCAGUUCACAAUUUUUUUUCCUUUUUUUUUCAAAUGCACUCACCACCUCAUCAAAUUUCUAUCUUUUAAAAAGUUUUCUGAACUUUUAGCAUAAUCAUGUUAAUUAAAAUGAAAAUAAUAGACAAUGGAAGGUCAAAUGAUAAACCAAGUGAUAGAACGCAUAUUCCUAUUCGUUCAUGGAUUAAAGAAAUGGUCUUAUUUGUACACUAAAUGUACAAUAAUAAGACACGUAACUUGAUUAAAUAAUAAACAUACGAUUAAUCGGCAGAAAUGAGGACGAAAAUUAAUUACUAUUAAAUAUUGAGAUUGAGAACCAUUUUAGUGGAAGAUUUAUUGGUUUAAUUUUUUUAUUUAUUUAGAAUAGCACCUUCUAUUUUAUUGGUCUUUUUUCUUCUCCUUUAAGUCAUUUUAAGUUAUUAAUUAUUAUAUUAAUAUGUCAUUAAUUUAAAUGUUUUUUUCACAUUUCAACGCUUUUUAAUAUAUUUUUUUUAAUUUUUAGUUUUUGAAAAACUAAUUAAUAGAUUUUAUAUUAAUUAUUUAAAGUAGUUGGAGUAAUAGUAUGAAUGUGAUAUUUUAAAAGGAUGAAAGACAAAUGUGUUCAAAAAUAUUUUUUUUCUUAUGUCCUUUUAAUAACUGUAGAUUAUAGAUAAAGCCAUCAAAAAUAUUUUUAAAUAUAAUAAAUAUUAAUUUUUUUCAAAAAACAGAAUAAAUUGAAAACAAAUAACAUACAAAAUUAUUAUAUUUUUUUUACAAUUUAUCAUUAAAAAUAUUUUAUAUUUUAAAAUUUAAAUUUAUUAUUCUAUAUUUAAAAACAAUGCAUAACUUAAUAACAUUUUCCUAUUGAGAAAACAUAAAACAAGAGUAUUAUCUGCUGAUAGAAGUAUUAGGACACAACAAAGAACAAAAUGAAAGAAGGUUUUUAGAAUUUUGACAACAAGAAACUGAGUUGAAAGUGGAGAAUGUUAAGGUAAGAUAAUGAAAUACUCUCUUCAACAUAAAAUUUGUGCCAAAUAAAAUCUGAAAUUUGUUCGAAAGACACCAAAAGCCAAUCAUACAAAGGUGGGGGCCUAUUUGCACAAAAAAGUUAAGAUUUAGGCAUAAUUGGUACAAAAAGUUACAUUUCCCAAUAAUUAAUAUUUACAAAUGGUUCACAAUCAUCAUAUGCUUAGUAGAGAAGAAAAAAGGCAUCAUCAUUAUCACAUGCUCUAAAAAUAAUCCUUUCAAAUCUUCUAUUGAAUCUUCAUUUCUCCCUAUUACUAAUGAUACCAUAAUAAUGUAGCCUCAAAAUUCCAAGACAAGAAAAGCUCUCAAACAUUUACACAUGGGUUGGAUUUUCUCCAUCAUGAAAAUUUCUCACUAUUACAAUACCAUUUUAUGUCAAGAACCAAAGAACCAAAGAACUAAAGAACGCUUUUUCUUCUUCUUCUAUAUUAAGUUUUCAACCCUUUUGGCCUUAUUUCAAUUCCUUGGAUAAGGAGACCGCCCUUCCAAUGCCCGCCUUUGACCUCUAACACGCUAAUCUCGAGCUCCCCGUUGUCCCCAUCAUGGAAGAAUUCACCAAGCUGAACCUCCAGCCAUCGAUCUUCUCGCUCCUUAGGGAUGUGGCGACCACAGUCCACAGCUGGGGCAUCGUUCCUGGUGAUUUCAGGAGGCGUGCCCACUUGCGUUCCAAUCAUGCUACGUCUACCACCAAGGUUGAAGAGGCCAAAGCCCCUAUGCACAAUUGGGUGUCGUUGUCGCCAAUCUCUACUUACAUCAUCUAAAUACACAGUUCGCUUCACGGGUUCGGUACCGGUAAGGCCAACACCUACCUCAACGGGCUGUUGUUGGAAGCCAUAGCUGGAAGUUGUGGGCUUGAACACCAAGUGGGCUGAAUAUAAUGUGCCUGGAGACAGCAUCUCCGUCUCUAUCUUGCCUCUGAUCUCGAGCCAACACACACUCACCAGCUCUGCCACCUCUCCAAACCUAUUCAAAUAAUAUAACCUCAACAUUAUGAUUUUACAAAUCUUCACUCCACAUUUUAAAUUUUGUUACUUAAUGUGAUCUUUGAAAUAGCAACAAUAAGUGUGUUUAGCAAAUAGAAAGAAACAUUCAUUCUCCUAAGAAUCCUGUAUGAUGUCUACACCGAUUUGAGUUUUAAGGUACUCGACAAAAACGCUUAUCCAAAAGCAAUUUCACUCAAAAUACAUAAACAUUAUGAACUAAAGAAUGUGAGAUAAAGAGAAAGUUUUACCUUGCUUCAGGAGUAGAAGACCACCUCCAAUACCUAGGAACAUCACCCCAAACAAUGGAAAGCUGUCUUGGAGAGAUCAUGUAGCAUUUUUUCCCUGUCUUUUUAUCCAAUGAAAAGCUCUGAAAUCAAAUAUAUAUAAGAAAACCCCAACAUUAGAAAUUUGGUCACUAAAGCAAAAAAGAAAAAGUGGGUUGUUGAAUACAAAAUGAAAGGAAAAGAAAAAAAAAGGAAAAAAAGUGACCCUUCAAAAGAAAAAGUGGAAAGAAUUCCACUAUAAAUAAAGGCAAAAACAAAAGUCAACCAAGAUAGUCCCUAUCUUCUUAUUAGAAACAUGAAAUCAAAAGCAGCCAAAACAAACAAUAACAUCAUCAUUAACAAUUUAAAAUCAUGCUUUACAAAUCCAAAACUUUCAUUUUCGAAAAUAAAAAUGCCACAAACAAAACAAAACAAAACCAAAUAUCUUCCCAAUUUUUCCUUGAUCCCUAAUUUUUAAUUAAAAGAACAAGACAGAAAAAAACAAAAACAAAACAAUCGCAUAAGAAUCAGCGUCGUCAAUCAUACGAUGAGAAUCCCAAGGAAAAAACCCACCAUCCAAAUGAAGCAAUUUCAAAUCUAUAUUCAGAAAUCAGAUUCA